UUUUUUUUAGUUUUUUGACUUAUUUUGAAUUUUGAAGGCGGGGAGAUAGUAAUGGCGCACCAUGGGCAGGUGCGCCAUUAGUAAGUAUGAAUUUUUUUUGCCUCUCCAGAUCUUAAAAGCCCCGUAUCUUUUUUCUGUUAGGUUUUUGAGGAUUUUGAAAAUGUUUAACGGGGUUCCCCCCGUUAAAUUCGGAUGUAACUUUUCGAGUAGAUGAUUUUUCAUAUAAAAAACUUUUUCAUCCGAGUUCGUAUGCAAAAGUUAUGCCCAUUUUACAAAUUCUCGAGAGAUUUUGCAAAUAAAGUCGAAAUUCAUAUUUGUAAAUUUUCACAACAACUAGACCACAUAUCACAUGGGGAACUUAUUUUCUUUUAUUUUUUGGACAUUUCCAUCAUUUUUUUAUUUAUUUUUAACUGAAAAGGCGGUCCAGGGGGGGUGCAUUCGGUGGAAGUGGUGGCCAAGUUACUAAUGGCGCACCGUGGGAUGGUGCGCCAUUACUAGAACUAGUAAUGGCGCACCAUCCCACGGUNNNNNNNNNNNNNNNNNNNNNNNNNNNNNNNNNNNNNNNNNNNNNNNNNNNNNNNNNNNNNNNNNNNNNNNNNNNNNNNNNNNNNNNNNNNNNNNNNNNNNNNNNNNNNNNNNNNNNNNNNNNNNNNNNNNNNNNNNNNNNNNNNNNNNNNNNNNNNNNNNNNNNNNNNNNNNNNNNNNNNNNNNNNNNNNNNNNNNNNNNNNNNNNNNNNNNNNNNNNNNNNNNNNNNNNNNNNNNNNNNNNNNNNNNNNNNNNNNNNNNNNNNNNNNNNNNNNNNNNNNNNNNNNNNNNNNNNNNNNNNNNNNNNNNNNNNNNNNNNNNNNNNNNNNNNNNNNNNNNNNNNNNNNNNNNNNNNNNNNNNNNNNNNNNNNNNNNNNNNNNNNNNNNNNNNNNNUUGGAAUUUUUUUUUGAAACAUAAUUACUAAUGGCGCACCGUGGGAGUGGUGCACCAUUACUAGUUCAACUAGUAAUGGCGCACCAUCCCACGGUGCGCCAUUAGUAGUUUUGAAAAUUUAAAAAAAAAAUUUACUAAUGGCGCACCGUGGAUGUGGUGCGCCAUUAGUAUUUGCACACUAAUGGCGCACCAACACAUGGUGCGCCAUUAGUAUUUAGUAAUGGCGCACCACAUGUACAGUGCGCCAUUAGUGUCCAUAUUGGCUAUAGCUGUUUUUGUAGUAGUGACUAUGGCCAACCUUAAUCAUCGCAUGCAAUAAUUUAGUGCACCUUGAAAUCUGAAUGCCUGCUUGACUCUCCUUCUCCCUCCGGCAGUCCCAGCACUCCACCCCGUGUGGAAAAAAUCUGCAUGCAUAACUCUCCUGCCCCCGAGCUCGUCCAAUCUGUUGUGACCAGCAAUAUUUCCACCCUUCCCUCCCCGUAAUUUACUCCAACAAAUAUGCCCGCGUAGUUGUUACGUUAAUCACACAACAUAUCUUACAGGACGCUGCUUUAGUUACUUAACUGCAGGUGCAUUGGGUCACUGACAUGUGGGCCCAUAAGGCAUCUGGCCCACAUGUCAGUGACGCAACUGCACCUGCAGUUAAGUCAGUGAAGCUUAGUCCAUAUCUUACAUAGGUUUGCCAUUGCUCGCUAUACAUACUAUGCCUCCCACGACAAUCGGAAGAAAGCUCACGUUCAUCGCUAUCUCCUCCCCGUCCCUCUCACGUCGACCACCAUGGCAUCGCCCCUCCCAAAGCCCUAGAUGCGCCUCACUGCACCGCGUGGACGGUCACGCGUCUCCGUUCCGUUCCUCGCUGCCACUAGUCGAGGAUGACGCGUCAGUGUUCUGCUCCUCGUCCCGACGCGUCGAGGUGGACGCGUCGGUGUUCCCAGUCUCUCCAGCACGCGUGGAGGACGCGUCGGCUCCCCGCUACAAGAAGAACGCCGCGCCACCCGCCGAGCCCCCAGCCUUGAGGAGCUUUGGAAAGAAAUGGACGUCGCCUUGUGGGAGGCUUUGCCUCCGGCAGAGCGCGCCCAAAUAGAGGCGGAGAAGAAGGCCGAGGAAAAGAAGCGCGCCGUGAGGCAUGCUGCCUGGCAGGGCUAUGUCGCGUCCGAGAGAGUCAGGCAAUUGGCUCUUUCGCAGAAGGCUCGUGCGAGGGCCGUGAGGGUGGCGGAGGAUGCCCGUGCCAAAGCCCUGAGUGCAGUCGGGCCCAAGCGCCUCAUCUACGCUUGGUGGUACAUGGACCGGGUGCAUGCUUCUGGCGAGGAGGAGUACCUGUUGGCGCCGGAUCACCACACCGGUGAGAUCGCGCUCGCCCGCCGCCAAGCCGCCAAUCAGCACCUCGCGAGUUGCAACACUGAGGAAGAGGUGUUGUGUCAGCGCGCUGGGAAAAGACCGCGCACCAGGGCACUCGUGACGUGCUGCAAGCGCUCCUGCGAGCGUCGUGGCUUUUAUUAGGAAUAUAAUUUAGUUUUGUAAGGCGAUCUCAUUAGUUUUGGGACGCAAAUGAUAAAUCCCGAACGUUCGGGAAUUAUUAGCGUCCUUAAUUAAGUAUGUAAAAGGAAAAUUUUGGAAACCUUGUGUAUCCGUACGCAUUUUGUAAGUACGUGCAUAUAGCACAAACUUUACUACAUACUAUCACACUACACAUCUCUCUCUAUAUAGGCUUGCAGACUGUGAUACUACUAUUACUUAUGUACAUGCAAAUGCAUGUUUUAACAUUACGAUGCGGUUUUUGUAAAAGUAGAAAAACAACACUAGUCAAGGUUGUGAAAUGAUUCAAUGCAAGCAAAUGCCGAAAUGCUCAUUUUAUUGUUUACUUUUAGCUACCUUCUCUAUGGUUUUUUCUCUAUCGUACUUUAUGUGGAGUAUCUCACUGGUCGGGAAGGAAUGCAAAUUCCCAAACCACUUCCUACACCCUGUAUCGAAUUUUUUUCCUAACAAGUUGUGCCGUGCAAUUGGAAUUCCAACUUGAGUACUACUACUAGGAGUACAAGGGGCCAGUUCUUUUAGGCUUCUAGAUUAGUAAUCCCAUAACUACUACCCCCAUCCUGGUUUAUUGGUCCCCAUUGUAAUCUGUGUCAAAUUUAGACCAUAAAUUUAACUAAUGAAAUGUUUAUGCAUGUCACAUGCACUAACAUUUUAUCAGUUAAAUAUGUGGUCAAAAUUUAGCACAAAUUACAAUGGUGAUGAAUAAACCAGGACGGAGGUACUUGUAGCUUAGAAGCCCAAAUAAAUGAGUGAGGCGCCUUAUGUUACUCUCCACUGUGACUAGUCUUAUGGGAAAAGCUGGGGAAGAGACAACUUAUUUUUUAAGCCGCGAAAAGAACUAGCCCUAGGAGUAGUAGGUAGGGAUACUAGGAGUAGUAGCUAGGGAUACUAGGAGUAGUAGCUAGGGAUCGAGUGUGCGAGAUGAACUAGAGAAAGUAAAUGCAGAGAGAUGAAAUGCAAAAGAGACGGAGGGAUGUGAUGGUUGCUUGUCCGUUUAUUUUACUAGGGAGUUGUGGGGUUUUGUGAUAUUAUGGCUUUACUGCCGCGCCAUGAGCGGGGUGAGACUCCCGUGCAACGCCGCCCUCUACACUAGUACUACAUCGGUCGUGGUUUAUUAGUCCCCCAUUGAAUUUAACUGAAGAUUUAACUGACAAAAUGUUAGUGCAUGUCAACAAAAACAAUAUCAUUGGAUGCGUAUUUGAACAUAGUUUUCAAUGAUAUAAUUUUAGGUGACAUGCAUGAGCAUUUAUCGUACUAUAUAAUGUUAGUUAAAUUUAUGGCCGUACUAAUCUAUAGUAAGGUGCCUAUGCGUUGCACAGAACAGUGAAAUGCAUUGAUCGGGGAGUUGUUUAUUUUGACAAAGGAUGUGGGGGUCAUCUCAUGUGUAACGCGUAUCGAUAGGUUUCUUAAGAUAUUAUUUCAUCUCUAGAGCUCACAAACAUCCGGGUGAAAUAGAUAAAAAAGUAACUUUUGCAAACAAAAGCGUUCAACUGUUCAACCUACAUCCAAAACUUGUGAAGAAAUAACACUUAUUGUGCUUUGCAAGAAAUGAUCUUUAAGAAUUAGUUUUUGAAUCGAUUGUUAUAGAUGUUGGCUACAUAUGACAUGGCACUUUCUUAUAGUCAACAGUUGGCUAUACUAUUAAGUAUUAACCAUGCUCUUAUACACCUAGACGGAGGGAUUAAAUCAGGAUGACUUGGAAGGGGGCAGAGGAGAUGUAACAAAGGGUUCAUCAUAAGUCUUUCACCAGUACUGUAGUAAAAAUUCUCAGUUUAUCUCAUAAAUGGCAAGCGAGAACUCUAAUGGAGCAAAAGCAUACAUGGAAGAUUCUAGACUAAACCAUAAAUGGAUACACUUUUAUUCAAGCGUGAUACUCUAAUAGAGCAAGAUCAUGCAUGGAAGGUUCUAUACUAUAUAAAUAAGAAGUCUCCACAUGCUUAGACAUCGGAUUACAUUGAGCGAAGACUAAUGAUCAACAUUUAACUUGGUAAUGCAUAUGUCAAGGUGAACCUCCUUGGAAUCCCCGUGCACCAUCUUGGGGGGGGGGGAAUCAUACCAUGUGUCUUCCAUGUCCUCAUUGGCAGGAAUGUCGCAGCUCGGCAUAGUCCCAGUCAGCAUGAUGGAGUUGGUGUGGGCGCCCACGUACCUCUGAGGGGCAGUAACAGUGAGCACGCACCCGUACAUCGGCCUCAUGUUAGUGUCAGCGUCAGCGGCGUUGCCCUUGAUGCACACUACAGAAAUGGGGCGGUGGCCUGCGCGGGCCUCACUGGUGCCCACGAUCAAGAGGAAGACGUUGCCCUCCUCCUCCGAGACUAGCAGGUGGCGAUGAUCCUCCAGCGACUCCGGCACGGCGAACGGGUAGCACGUCUUGUACUUGAUGUUCACCGCCGCGGGCCAGUAGUGAUCGCCAGACGGUUGUGCGAGGUGAUGCACGAGGCUCGCUGGAGAGCCCCAAGACGGCAACGUGCACCCAUAGCAGUAGCAGCAAGGCGCGUGCGCGCAUCUGGAACUAUGCUCCGCCAGCAAGUGCUGGUCGACGUACCUCUCGCAGCCGAAACUCUUGUAGACGCAGGGCACCUUGGAGGCAUCAACCAGGUCGUCCAUGAAAGGGAGUGGCUAUAGGGGACGUUGCGCCAGGUGAAUAUAUGAGCAAGUUAGUACGAGAUUUAAUCCGAAUAAGCACAAACUAAAUCAUGACGGCUAUAAUAGAGAUUAAACUAAUCAUGUGGACUAGCAUAGUAGAUGAACAUAUCGAAUCCAGGACAUAGACUAGAAACAUGAAUUUUACCACGAUUUUGAACAGUAGGACAGAAACACAUAAUGUGAAACGGGAGCAGCACCAUUGGCGUUGAGGUUGUCGCCCAUGUCGUUGAGGAAGAGGUUGCCGAGGUCGAGGAAGAAGUCAUCGUUGCCAGCAGUCGCACGAGUGCGCUCCCCAAAUUUCAACAGCGCCCGCCGAAUGAAGCACGGUUGGGAGUGGCUGUAGGGGACGUUGCGGCCGCCGAAUGGAGUGCAGGAGUAGCACACGAAGCAGUAGAUGGUGCUCCUCCCUAGUCUCUAUCUCCAAUCUUAUCUCUAUAUCUACUACUCUUUUCUUCUUAUAAUAAAAUAAUAAAAAACCGAGUUGGUGAUGAUGGUGUGCCUGCCAUCUUGUAAUAUAGACCGUCCGAUUUAUAUCUGACGGAUAGAAAGCAAACUAUGACAAUUCUACAAAAGAUACCCGCACCUCUCUCCACAUUUAUAGAUAAGGCCUUGCAUCAUUCAUCCUUAUCUCCCACAACCUCUUUGCUGAGCAAUUAAAAAAGGAAGUCUCUGGAAUAAUCUGGCAUGGUGGCCGCUGCCGGCGCCGUCCAUCCCCAUGCCUCCACCCAGUCCGAGCACUAGUCACCACCACGCCCCACUCCUCCUCACCUUAUCUCUCAUCUUUCUCGAGAUAUCAUUUUUUCGAUGAAAUUCUCGAGAUACCAUUUUUCCGAUAAAAUUCUAGAGAUAUCAUUAGUUUUUACACAUGGGAUUACUCCUGCAAGGGUCAAUCACAACAGGUGUUUUGUAAAAAAAUGCAUCUUGAUGUUCCGUGCAAUGCACCGGCAUCUUGCUAGUUUUUUUGCAUAUAAUUCCAAACACCACGUAGACACAGUCUUUGACCAUUUUACAACUAUGUUAGUAUCAUUGUUAGUGGUCAGCCGGUGCAAGUUAUAGCCCUGGGUAUUUUAACCUUUUUUUAGUAAUGAUAUCUGGCGAUUGUUCGCCACGAGCUCAAUCCUGGCGAAUCCCACGUAACCAUCAGAUUUCCAUCCGACGGUGGUCUGUUUUUAAGCAAUAGUAUUUGACAAAACCGCCACCCUUACACACGUACAGUAACUGCAUCGCGGGCGUUUGCAACUGCCAUGUCUCCCAGCGAACGUUUGCUGGGGAUUGGAGUUACCACCGAUGGCGGUUCGUAGUCGUUCCAUGCUUGGGCAUUGAAGUUUGUAACUGUUUUAGAUUAGAAUAUACUACUCCUCCGAUGCUAGUAGUAGAGCAGAGUCCUACUCCACUACUCUAUAUGCAAACUAGGCCAUAGUAGUAGGUACUAUAGGGAGUACUAGUACUGUGAUCACUCAAGAAAGUUGUCUGGCAUCGGUAUGACCCUACGCUGCCGGUAUGUGUCUCGUAAGUCAAGCGGCAUGCUGUAGUCAUCAUCACCUGUCCACUUCCCGCAGCACAUAUUCGCUUCUCCAUCUUUGUCCGCAAAUAAUCGUCCAAUCUUCCAUCCCCGCUAAGGAGCCUCCCCCUCUUCCGAAACUCAAGCACUAACAAUGGCAGAACCGAGCAGCGUCCGCCGAAAGAGUGGCUGGAAUUCGCUCCCCACAGAGGUAAUCAAGCUCAUUGUUUCGCGUGUGGACAAUCUCAGUACCAUGCCGCUCGCCGCGUGCUCGUCGGGGCUGUACCGUUUACUCAAAGCCCUCAGGCCGAAGCUUUUUAAGCCAGCUCCUUGCUUGCUGAUUCCGCCUGAUCUUCAGAAACAGCGUGUCACGCAGCAUAACGAUCGUAGGGUGGCGAGAAUCAACCCCCUUGACUGUGAUCCGAUCCCCGUCACCCUCAACUACAUUAACGGUAUGUACUGGGUCGACAUGAACACGUCUUGGAUGGUGCUCGUCGAUGAUCGUGGCAGCUGGAUGCUCGUGGAGGUCUACACCCGGCGAUUGAGCCCCCUUCCUUUGAUUAACACUGCACUGCUUUGGCACUGCGGCCCAGAAUACUCGGAAUCUUAUAGUAGCCAACAUCAUACCAAGUUUGAUUUGCUCAAGGUUGUAAUCUUCCAAGUGCCCACAAGAUCUGUGAAUUAUAAAGACUUCAGGAUAAUUGUGUUCUUCAACCGCGGUCUCGCCUAUCUGACAGGUCACUGCGGUAAGUGAAUAAAUCUGCACGUCCAUCGCAGGAUCAUAGAUCCUCCAUGGUUCUCUGAUGCCAUUGAACAUAAGGGCUUCAUUUACGCUGUCGACUCCUUCUAUGGCCGGACGUAUUGCUGGCCUACUCCAGUCAUCGCUACAAACGGCUGUUACAGCAGUAUGUUACUUUCCUAUGAUAUCAUGAUGGCUUGCUUAUAUUACUGUCAACAUUUACUGAAAAAUAUUCAUGCUCAUAACAUGUUGUUCUUAAGAUUGACUACAGUAAGAGCCCUUUUUUAUUUGACUCCAACUUGAUAUGAUGUUGUAGCCGCCUGGUGUCCCAACCCUUCCUAAUCCCAGAACCUUUCAAAGAAUAGCGGCAUGGCAGUUGCAGGUGGUUGCUGGCUCGAUCAGAUGAUGGCGAACGAUUGAUGAUCGUUCGCACAUACCGGACGUGUCGUUUUGCGGAAUACAAUCACAGUCACUGCAAGGUAUUUGAGCAGGAUCCCAACUUCUCUGGGCCUUCAUGAAUUUUUUACUGGAGGCUGGUAAGUAGCCUUGGUGCGCGCUCUCUGUUUCUCGAACUGAAUUAUCCGAUUAACCAGGAGAUAACCGACGGCAAGGAUCAUGAUGGCAGCGCGGUUUCAUUCAUCAGGCAAAACUGUGUGUACACAACGUACCAUUCGUUUCUGCAUGCACCAUACCCUAAUAUGUGCCGCCACGCUCUACAACCCAAAGUAGGAGAGAGGGUCGCAAGCAUCAGACUUUGACCUGCUGGCUGGAGUUUCCCCCGUCAUGCAUCCAUCUGGUUCAAGCCGUCAGCCAAUCUCCACAGCUUAAUAAAUAGUAACGUCUAACUGAGCCAGUUAGUUAGAUGCGUACACUUGGUUUAGUUGGAACUUUAUUUAGUUUGAUGCAUACACUUGUUCUUUUUUGGUAGCCCUAUUUUAAUGAUGGCUGAUGUUUGGUUUGGAAGAGAGAGUUGCGUCUUUACUCUUCUGGCCUGCUUACUGCUUCUAUUGCAGCCCCAGCCCUAGUUGCUGCUGCUGCUGUUUUCAAUGUACAAUCAGUAGUAUAUUUCAUGUGUUGGUUGAAUAAAUGUGUUGUUAGAACGACAAACACAAUGUUUUGGAAGUCGUUGCUCGGUUCGAUCCUUUAGUGCCCCGUACCAUACGUAGCGCGUACUAUUUUUGGUACGGAACACAUUUUCCACUUGUCGAUAACAUGCAGCCCACUGAUGAAGGCCCAAUAGAGGAUCCCAUAAUUAACUGGAAGGGAGGCUCUCACAUGAAUCUGGCCCAGGUACAUGCUCAUGGUCCCCUAAACAUAAAUAAAGCUAAAUGCUCAUGCACCAGUUCUUUAAAUUCAUGAUUUGAAAAGUCAAAUUUUAAGAGGAGGAUAUUAUUUCCUAUGAUAGUGUCGUUACAUUCAGUCGAUAUUAUUCUUAGGCAAAGAUAGCAACCAGUCUUAUUUCUCCCACCAUUUUCUUCCUGCUACCAGCGGACCCAUGCAAAUCCUAGUCAAGGUCGUAAAUAGUUCUGGUCCAUUUUUAUUUUUCAAUAAGAAUGUCCAACCCAGCCUUGGUGCGCUCGCAUUGGCCACAACACAUUAUCCUCCGCCUUGGUGCGCUCUCCGCGGCGCCACCGUGCGGCCCUGUCAACAUAGUGAAUUGGGAGAGGACUGUAGUUGUGAGUAUGACAGUACAGACCCACCAGGUCCACUCCCGAACACAAGCAAGCGCCUCUUUUACUACUCAGAAGCACCCCUCGUUUUUUACUCUAAUCCACCCUGCUAAUAUCUGGGACCCACAUGAUUGUCAACGCACAGUCAAUUAACGACAGAAUUGCACUACUUUUUUUUUGAUGAUUUGUUCGGAGGAGCAGGCUAUAAACUGGGUUGUGCGGUCUCUGUGGCCCGUCUAACAACAUGACCAGCCCAGCAGUUUUUUCUUUGGGAAAAUAGGUAGCCCACUAUUUCUUUUUGAAGAAUACCCAAGCUAGGCCUAUUUGUUUUCUCCGACUUAGUGGGCUGCAAAUCUUUCAAGACGAGGAGGGAUGCAUUCCGGCUUGGGCAAAGAGCAUGGUCAGUAUAUCUUAAAAGUAAUAUCAAAGGGGUUGCAAAUUCCAAAAAAAUUAUAGCAAAUGGGCAAUUAGUUUUUUUUUGUUUUUGUUCUUCACUGAUAUUUUAUAUUUCAUUGGAUUUUAACAUGACAUAGUACUAAUUUAUUUUUAAAUUUGUUUUAGUGUGGCUACUAAUUUUUAGGUUAAGAAUAUUUUGUUCCCCAGCAAAAAUUUGUGAAUUUUUAAAAUUUCACACAUUUUUUAGUUCAAUUUUUUAACCCUAGUACCGACGAGAAAAUGGGCAGCAAUUCUAAAACUGAAAAAUCGGCUGCAAUAAAUUCCAUAUGAAUUAGCAAAUGAGUAAAAAUUAUAAAAAUAAUAGCAAAUGGGCUGUACACGCCACAGAUUUCGAGGCUCACUUGUUUACGCAAGGCUUUGUCAGUCAACACACAAUUCUAGCAGCAGUGACUGUUGGAUGUCCAUCCAACGGCCAACGUGCUUAUUCAAUCUCCGAUCUUCCUGCUCCAGCCGCCUAAACCAGUGCCGGCAAGACUGCCUGCUCCCUCCUCUUGUGGGCCGCUGUGAUGCCGCGCAGGCUUCACCGGCCCACCCUACUCCCUCUGCUGGCCUAGCUGCACGCAAUCAACUCCCUUCUUAUUACGCGAAAAAAUGAUUCCUCCCACUGACAUCUGGGGCGCACCGGUUCGGAGGUAGACCUAUGGGCCUACUAAGUUGACGCGCACGCAGGGCUUUGUCAACUUAGUCAACAAAUGAUUCUAGCAGCAGUGACCGUUGGAUUUGAAUCGAACGGUCCUGCUGCUUCUUCAAUCGCUGCUCUUCUUGCACCGGCCGCCCAAACCAGCGCUGGCGAGACCGCCUACUCCUACCUCCAGUGGCCAGCUGCGGGUUAGUCCAAGGAGGAGAAUAUAACUCAUAACCGCGCUUGCUGUCCUGCCGCUGAUCUUUCCGCAAGAAGAUGAAGGCACUGAGGGUCUGGUGAGGUAACAUGCGCGGGGCAGGCCGCGAGCUAGAGCUCGAUCCCCUAGAUUUGUCAACGUUGAAGGGACAGACCCGAGCACAAGUGUCGUGCCAGCAUGUGUAGCCCCUGUUGCGGGAUGAGCAAGAGGCGGGUCAGCAACGCGGGGAGGCUGCGAAGGGCAAUAAAGCACCAGGCAAGCGGGUGAUAAUCAUAAAGCAACCCAUGAUCGAAAGGUAGAGCAAGUUCUGAUAGAUGCAAGAAGGAUACAUGCCGCAGGGAUGGACCCACGCGGCUUGGGGACAAUGCAGCCUGAGGGGCGCCCCCAACUGAACAACCAAAAAGGUGUCACCUGGCACCAUUGCUGAAGAGGUGUUGGAGUAGUCGAAGGCGCGCGCUGCAGAAGUCGCUCCUCAUGAGCCGCCCAGGUCCUGAGCCUCGGGAGGCUCUGGGGGCCCAGGGGGCUCGCGAGGAUUCGUCGCCACCUCCGAUAGGACCGCCUAGUGCCUGGCCUGAUGAGCCGCUAGGACGUCCUGCAUGUGGCGCUGGUGCAUGAUAGCCCUGUUCAGCAAGCCGAAAGGCAUGUGAACAUAGCUGUGAGGGAGACCCUCGCACCGGCCAAUGUGGGACGGCCAGGAGAGCGCCUGCGACGCGGCCCUGUUGAGGUCGGGGAUGUUGACGCAGGCGCGCAGCUCGCUGUCCUUGCCGGGGCAGGGAGCUACGCCAGGUGGUCAGCGGCGGUCGCCUUGCAUAGCUCUUGCCUCCUGAAGUUCCUCGAUCGCCUUGGUGAUGAACUCCUGAGCACCUGGCGCCUCGCGCCUUGUGCCAUCCUGGCGGAAGCACGCGCUGAAGCAUGCCUCCACAUGGUGCCCGAGCGCCUCCCUCGUGACGUUGGCUAGGUCCGAGGCCCUCCAGAGGAAAGCCCCCGAGCCCAGCCUCAGAGGGGCACUGGGCACACCUUCCUAUGCGAGAGAGGAAGGCGCCCCGUCAGUGGGCGCAGGGCUUGCGGUAGUGCCGCCGGACACCCCACCCUCCUGACAUCCUUGGCAGAGCGGCUACUUCUUCUUCUUGGGGACAACCUCAGGAGGGUAGACAGAGCCCUCGACAUCUGGGUCCUCGACCGGCGCAGCCUGGUAGGCGCGCUCCAGAGAGCACACCGCGUCCUUCUUCUCGCGGGUGACCGUGAUGACGCCGCAGCUUCCUGGCAUCUUGAGGACGUUGUAGCCAUGGUGACCGCCAUGAACUUGGCCAGGGCCGGGUAGCCGAGGAUGGCGUUGUGCGGGAGGCAAAUGUGGGCGACGUCUAAGUCGAUGAGCUCAGUGCGGUAGUUGUCACGCUUGCCGAUGGUGAUAGGGAGGCGGAUCUGCCCUAUCGGGGUGGUGGAGCCAUCGGUCACUCCUGAGAAAGGCUUGGUAGGCUGUAGCUGGUCAUAGGGCACCUGGAGACGGUCGAACGUCUCGACGGAAAGAACAUUGAGCCCCGCACCGCCAUCGAUGAGUAUCUUGGUGACAAGCACGUUGCUGAUGGUAGGCGAGUAGAGCAUCGGGAGGGCGCCGGUAGUUGCCGCACACUUGAGCUGGUCGGAAGAGUUGAAGGUGAUGGUGUACUUGGACCACCUGAGCGGACGUGCUGCCUCGAGCUUGGGGAGGUCCGCAUUCACCUCAGGCGCGAACUGCUUGAAGAUGCGAUGAGAGGCUGGGGCCUGAGCGCCACCCAGGAUGCAAGCAAUGGCUCGAGGUUCCUGGAAGCCCCCAGCCCCCUCCUCCUGGUGGUGGUCGUCAUUCCUUCUUGGUGGUGGCGGCAGCGGAGGAAGGCCAGCGUUGCCCUGAGGGCGGUCCUCACGAGGUUGAUCGCGCCAUUCCAUGCAGGGGUCCCGGUCGUCCCAGCGUCCUCCGCCUCGGCCACCUCCAUGGCUGUAGCCUUGGUCAUUGCGCUGGGGGCAACAACCGAGGCGCCCGUCACGGAUGGCCCUGAGCUCCUGGCAGUCGUUGGUGUUGUGGCUGUGCACGUUGUGGAAGACGCAGAAUGGGCAGUUGCCCUUGGAUGACUCUAGGUGAUCGCAGCCGUGCUUCAUCUCUGGUUCGGCCGCGAGCACGGCCAGUCCCUUGUGCUUCACAUCCUUGGCCUUGGCUUUCUUGUCUUCUAGGCCAGCCCCGGUAGUUCCAAGAGGGAGAGGCGACCUUCCUCAGCUCUCGCACACUAGGUUGCCAUGUUGAACAUCUCCAGAGCCGUGCACGGGUCCUCGUGUAUGGCGAGCUCCUCCUUCAUCUUGACGUGGCGGACGACAUCAGUGAACGUCGAGAUGAUGGAUUCAUCCAACACCUUGGGGAUCUUGAGGCAGACACUGUUGAAGCGCUGGAUGUACUUCUGCAAGGUCUCUCCUGGUUGCUGCUUGAUGUGCUGUAGGUCACCCGCACCUGGUGGGUGGUCGCGAGUGCCCUGGAAGUUGGCAACGAAACGCUCUCGCAUCUCGUCCCAGGAGGAGAUCGAUCCCGCGGGGAGGUUUAGGAGCCACGAGCGCGCGCCGUCUUUGAGGGCCAUGGGAAACUAGUUUGCCAUAACCUUCUCGUCACCAUUGGCCACCUCGAUGCUUAGCUCGUAGAUCUGUAGGAACUCGACAGGGUCGGGGGUGCCGUCGUAGCAUGGAGGCAGGUCGGGCUUGAACUUCCCUGGCCAGACAACGCUGCGCAGCUCCGGAGUGAACGUGCAGCAUCCAGCUGUGGUCACGGGAGCCCACCAUAGAGGUGGAGCCUGAUCUUGGCGCUCGUGCGCCUCCGCCAAAGGCGGCGCGCGGUCUUGACGUGGCGGUGCUAGGAGCGCACGCGCCUCUUCUUGCGGCCGCUGCACCACCUGACAGCUUUCCUCGUCGCCCGUCGACGCCUUACGCGGCGGGUCGCGCUGUGGAGCCUCGCGCCUUGGCUCGAUGAUGGCGUCCUGCAUGGGAGGUGGAGGAUGUGCUCCGUGAGCCACGUCACCCGCAGCAGGCGGCGGGUGAGGCAGCGAGCGAGAUGGUGCAGGAGACUCUCCGGCAGCGCUGACUAGCUCGGCGAUGUGGUCCAGCCAAUCUUUGUAGAGGUCGUCGAUAGUGCGAUAGCGCAGGAGCUCGUGUGCCAUGAGCAACGCAGCCUGCGCGUUCGCCAGCCCGCGACGAGCGUGAGACGAUGAAGCGGUCACCGGGGUCAGCGACGGAGUGGCGGUGGUUCCAUCCCGCCGCACGGAGGGCUGCAUCGACGAAGCCUGCUGCUUGUGGUCCACGGGGCCGGUGGCAGCGUUGGCCGCGGGCGAUGAGGAGCGGCGGGGAGCACCAUCACCAGCGGGCGCUGUCUGGGCGACACAGGCAGCGAGGGAGGCCCGCCGCUCAGCACGAACUCGACGAGCGUAAGCCAUGGGGACGGUAAAACGGUGGCGAAUCGACCGGAGGAAGAGAGGUUCCGACCAAGGUUGUCAGAAUCGUGAUUUUGAAUCGGAUCGUAGAUCCGAUGGUAGGAUCGCAAAUCGUAGAAUCUUCACUAUGAGGAUCAUAAAAACGUAGAUUCUAUGAACUAUAAUAGUAGAAUCAUAGGGGUUAGUUUGGAUCGUAAAGUCGUAGAAUCGUAUAACAGAAUCGCGAUUCUGACAACCUUGGUUCCGACGCACCCCUACCUGGCGCGCCAAAUGUCAGAUUUCGGGCUCCGCAGACCCUUAGAGGUUUGAACUCUGGGGUGCGUGCGAAGAACUCAACCUUCCCAGUCUGCCUACUCGCCAAUCUCAUAGCCUAACUCGAUGAACAGGAAGGAAAUGGGACACAUCACUUUACCCAGGUUCGGGCCAUGUUGCGGUGUAAAACCCUACUCCUGCUUUGUGGUGGGUUGGCCUCGAGGGGCUGAGGAUGAACUACUACAGUGGAGAACCACCUCAGGAGGAGGCGUGAUCUUAUCGUCGAGUGAGCUGGUGGGCCUGAGGAUGGAAUAGAUCUAAUCUCGUUCCUCCUCGGUUCCGUCCCCCACUAUGGUGGUGGCCAGGUCCUACUUAUAGUGGCCUUGGUCCUCUUCCCAAAUGAAGGCGGGAAGGGAUCCCACAAUGGCCAAAUUUGAAGGGAGACAAUUAGUACAUCUUAUCCUGACAAAAGUAGUCUUCGCCUGCAAAGCCUCUGGUCCUGACGCUGUGGUGGGCUCGGUGGUGACCUCCGUCCUGCCGUCCUUGCGGUCUUAGUCUUGUUGGACGGGAAUGGAAACCUUUAGUUGAUUCCUCGGGACUCCGCGCCUGCGCUUGCCUCCUUAGCACCAAAGAAGAAACUGCAGUCCUGCGCCCACUGGCGCCCGCCUGGCCUUGGUCGUCAUGGCUCACGUCACCUGAUCCUCGCGAGGUGAGUGUGACACCCCGAGACCGACGCUUCAGACGCCUUCCAUGUUUUCGUUGUCGCCGUGUGUUUUAUUUGUUUGUUGCAUUUCAUCAUGGCAUCAUCCGCAUUGCAUUGGCACUCGUUGCCGUCAUUGUUUUUCAAAUUUACAUCCGCUCGUAGUUGCCGCGUCACCCCUCACCUUCGUUGACCAAUCCGAGUCCAGCCGGGUUUUUCGAUUCCCUCUUGUCUGACCGUUUGACCCUCUCUGCACUGUGCUCAUACCCGCCUCGCGCACGUCCGAAACUUCCCCGAACCCGAACCUGGCUAUCGUUACCGUUGGGUCCGGAUCAUCCCCAAACAUCUCUAAAACAUCUCCGUUUCUUAUUUAGACUUUCCUAGCAUAUCUAUUCUCGACCGUCAGAUUUUGAUCGGAUGAUCCAACUCAGCUCUUUUCCCACAUAUAUAGUCUACCCCUAGUCCAUUUUGGACCAAACCUAUUUUCUAGGGAUCCUACUCCCCGCCACCACUAUCUCUGGUUCCCUCGGGAUCACCAGCGAACCAACCAGCGCCUCCAUGGUAUCCUCCAUGUUUUCCCCAUCGACCCAAUCCCCUAUCGCCGCCACCUCUCCCUUGGGAUCCCUCCCGAUCCCAUCGAAUCCACCAACCAAAGGCCACCACCCACUCCAGAUCGAGAGGAGCUCGAUCUCGACCUCUCUCCCGACCAGCGCCUCCCCUCGUGUCCGGCCCAUGUCGGAGCUCGUCAUCGCCGGCCACCAAAACAGCAACAGCAGCCCCGCCGCCGGCUGACCGAACCAGCAGAUGAGCGCCCUGCCCCCGCCUUCUUCCUUUCCUUCUGUUCUCCUUCUGCCUCUCGCUCCCCUCGGACUCAUCUCUCCCUCGUUCUGUAUAGGGGAGCAACCAUGGUCGUCCAUCCAUGGAGAUGAGCCGCGCCGCCCUGGUCACCUGCGACCUCGGGUCGCCUCUGCGUCGUCCUCACCGCUCGCUGGUGAGCACCUUUGCGCCGCCUCCGGCCCCUUUCUUUUCCUCCCGUCGCGCCUCUGCUGAAUUCUCCGCCUCGCCGUCGUAUUGCUGCAGGAGCCGAGGCUGUUGCCUCCUCAGUUCGUCGCACCGCCUCGAGCUUUCCCCGCCCCGGAUCUAGCCGCCCCUGCUUCCCGUCACGCCUCCUCGCCAUGUAUCCGGUUGUCCCCGCGACGUCCCUGCCGCCGCGAGCCACCUCUUCUGCAUCUUUACUCUGCAGCGAGGACGAGGCCAGCGCCAAGUCCCUCUCGGUCCCCUGCUUUGUUGGCCUGCUCCAGUUCGUUGCCGCCUCGCUCGCGCCCGGAUCCAAGACCCGCACGUCAAGUCCGCCGCCCGCUGUCGUCUUCCCGGCGAACCACACCGGCCCGCCGCUUCCUGUGCCUACCGGCGCCCGCCUGCGACCUCCUCUGCUUCGAGCCCCGUCCCGCGAAGACCGCACGCUGCCCUCGAGCGUUGACCAUGCCCCGAGCGGCGUCCCAGGCCCAGUUCCAAACCUGCCUGCCUGCCUCACCACCAAACCGGGCCUUAGCCCAUGAGUGAGUAGCUCCUCCAACCCUCUGCUCUAUUGUGGCCGAGCCAGUUUCGGCCCGUGAUGUUUUUUCCUCCCAGGACGAAUUUUCUAAUUAUCCAGAGACUGCCAGUUUUCCAGAGAAGUCCUUCAUGUUCAUGCAUUAAUAACCCUUGAACCGUGCAUCGGUUUAAAAUGAUUUAUAUAUGUAAAAUGCUUAGAAUUUUGUCUAGCUUCAUAAUAUGCAACUUUCACCCAUGUUUAAAAUGGUUAAAAUGAUGUUCGUUCAAAUUUGCUUAAAUGGCAUGCUAAAAUGAUUUAUUUCAUAACUAAAUAACUGUAGAUCCAAAUUUAAGAAACUUUAUAUGUAAAUGGGGUGGAAUAAUGCAUAGAUUAACUUGGUGCAUUUUAUUUUGAUGUUUAACAACAUUAAAAUAUGUUUUAGGGUAGAACAGUAGCUAAUUCAAAAUAUGCACAUGGGGAUUUUCCAGAAUUGUUGUUUGUUUUUCCGGCCUCAUUUAAACUUGCCUAGAUAGGUGGUUUUCAUAUGCUUCACCCCUUGCCUUGUUUAUUAACAUUUAAAAUUGUUGAGUAGGUUAAAUGGGACAGAACUAAAUAAUUGUUGUGGUGUUUCGUCAAUAUGCAACUCGUUGCAUAUUCAGCUCCACUUAAUUUCUAGUAUUGUGUGUGCAUUUUGCCAUGCCAUGCCUAUUUAAACCGGACAUGCAUCAUACUUGAUUGUGCAUCAUGCCAUGUUUAUGUGAUGGUUUUUUACCAUGAUGUUUGCUCCUUUCCGGUUGCGCUUCUCCUUGAUAGUUCCGGUUACGAUGCGAUUGUGAGGAUUCGUUCGACUACGUUGGUUCGUCUACUUCUUGGACUCGUUCUUCUUCCUAUCGGGAUCUCAGGCAAGAUGACCAUUACCCUCGAUAUCACUUCUAUCUUUGCUUGCUAGUUGUUCGUUCUAUCGCUAUGUCACGCUACCUAUCACUUGUUUAUCAUGCCUCCCAUAUUGCCAUGUCAAGCCUCUAACCCACCUUCCUAGCAAACCGUUGUUUCGCUAUGUUACCGCUUUUGCUCAGCCCCGUCUUAUAGCGUUGUUAGUUGCAGGUGAAGAUGAAGUUUGUUCCAUGUUGGAACAUGGAUAUUUUUGGGAUAUCAUAUUAUCUCUUAUUUACUUUAAUGCAUCUAUAUACUUGGUAAAGGGUGGAAGGCUCGGCCUUUUGCCUGGUGUUUUGUUCCACUCUUGCCGCCCUAGUUUCCGUCAUACCGGUGUUAUGUUCCUUGAUUUUGCGUUCCUUACGCGGUUGGGGAUUUAUGGGACCCCCUUGACAGUUCGCUUUGAAUAAAACUCCUCCAGCAAGGCCCAACCUUGGUUUUAACAUUUGCCACCUAAGCCUUUUCCCUUGGGUUCUGCAGACUCAAGGGUCAUCUUUAUUUUAACCCCCGGGCCAGUGCUCCUCUGAGUGUUGGUCCAACCUAGAGCCACUUGUGGUGCCGCCCCUAGGAAACUUGGGGUAUCUUCGGUUGCCGUACGUAGUGUUCAUCCGGUGUGCCCUGAGAACGAGAUACGUGCGACUCCUAUCGGGAUUUGUCGGCACAUCGGGCGGCUUUGCUGGUCUUGUUUUAUCAUUGUCGAAAAGUCUUGUAACCGGGAUUCCGAGUCUGAUCGGGUCUUCUUGUGAGAAGGAAUAUCCUUCGUUGACCGUGAGAGCUUGUGAUGGGCUAAGUUGGGACACCCCUGCAGGGUAUAAACUUUCGAGAGCCGUGCCCACGGUUAUGAGGCAGAUGGGAAUUUCUUAAUGUCUAGUUGUAGAGAACUUGACACUUGACUUGACUAAAAUGCGUCAACCGCGUGUGUAGCCGUGAUGGUCUCUUUUCGGCGGAGCCUGGGAAGUGAAUACGGUUUGGGUUAUGUAUGAACGUAAGUAGUUUCAGGAUCACUUCUUGAUCACUUCUAGCUUCUCGAUCGUUGCGUCGCUUCUCUUCUCGCUCUUAUUUGCGUAUGUUAGCCACCAUAUUUGCUUAGUGCUUGUUGAAACUCCACCUCAUUACCCCAUCCUACCCAUAAGCUUAAACAGUCUUGAUCUCGCGGGUUUUGAGAUUGCUGAGUCCUCGUGGCUCACAGAUACUUCCAAACAGUUUCACUUGCCGAUGAUGCCAGUGCAGGUGAUGCUACCGAACUCAAGUGGGAGUUCGACGUGGACCUUGGUCGUUACUAUGUUUCGUUUCUUGAUGAUCAGUAGUGGAGCCCAGUUGGGACGAUCAGGGAUCUAGCAUUUGGGGUUAUCUUCUUUUCAUUUGUAUUUGUCCGUAGUCGGACUAUGUGUGUACUCUGAAUGAUGUAUGUUUAAUUCAUGUAUUGUGUGAAGUGGCGAUUGUAAGCCAACUCUUUAUCCCAUUCUUGUUCAUUACAUGGGACUGUGUGAAGAUGACCCUUCUUUCGACAAAACCACCAUGCGGUUAUGCAUCUAAGUCGUGCCUCGACACGUGGGAGAUAUAGCCGCAUCGUGGGUGUUACAAGUUGGUAAUCAGAGCCAUCCCCGACUUAGGAGCCCCCUGCUUGAUCGAAUCGCUGACGUUGUUGAGUCUAGAACAAAAUGUUUUGAGUCUUAGGAUUAUAUAUAUCGGAGAGUAGGUUUCUUUUUACUCCUCAGUCCCUUCAUCGCUCUAGUGAGGUCUCCUGACGUAGAUGUUUUGACUUUCCUCUCCUCAAAUUUCACUAAAAAAAAAUUAGGAUCACGCGGGUAUCUUGGGAUCGUUCCGAUAGUCUUGUGACGAGAACAUUGUUCUUGGUGCCUCCUGACAUUUAGGUGUUGUGGCAGUGUCCCGGGGAGUUGAGCUCCGAGGUGUUGUCAUCGCAAUUUUAUUGUUGCGGUUCUGAAAUACCUGAGUUUUUCGCCGACAUCGAAAAUCUCUUUUAUGAAGUUGUUGGUGAGAUAACCUUGACACCACCCAGUACUGGGGCGGGAGUUCGGGAGUAUUGCCAUAGCUCGUGUAACGGAUGCUUUUCGAUGGUUGAGGUACACGAUUUCGGUAGUUUUCUUGGUUAUGUGUUGACGGAUGGAUACAGCUGGAUGUAGGGAUUGUUAGUUUGGGUGAGAUAUUAUGCUUCCCCUGUAUCCCCAAUACCUGAUUGCGGAACCAGAAAGUUUCGGGAGUUUAUAAGUGGGAAUUCAAGUAUCACGUAGGACAUCUUUCCAACAGAAACAUGAUAGGAUAUGGGAUCUAUCAUAUGUUUGUUCUGGCCUAUUUCCUAAGCCAAUCCUUUGUUUUGUUUUGAGUUGUGGUAUUUGAGUUUCUUGGAUGUCAAGUGUUGAUUCCAUACCUCUCCUAAGCGGUGUUCUCAUACUUCUAUGUGAAUACUAAUCCUUCUUGAUCACUGAGGUUGUCAUGUCAACUCUUUUCCAACCGGCGUGCUUCUCUUCAAGUUCAUCCGAUCAUUGCAACAUUCGCAAGAUCAAUUCUAAGUUUUUCCUCAAAGGUGUUCGUUUCAUCCGUCCCAAGUUGCAUUUGUUUUUCCCACCCUCCCACCCUUUUUCUUCAAGGACUCAGAUAUCUUAAUCAAGUAUCCAUCUUAUGGAUGUGAAGUCUCUUCAUUUUUCCAUUCAAUGUUUUUACCCAGUGUUUCUUAUGAAGAUGCUAAGGGACCUUCAAGUUCGUCAUUCUUCACUCGUUUUCUUCUCCGGUGGAUUAAUUUCAAGAUUUCGGUGUUGAUCUUAUCCCUUUUUCUCUUUCAACAAUGCCUUCUCAUUCCGGUGCACCAAUUAAUCAUUCACCUCUCGCUAUUCAAUUGUUACGGAGCGUUGAAGAUAUCUCAGAAGUUUUUGUCUCCAUUAUCAAUCCGUUCAAGCUAUCUCGAGAUUGCUAUAUCAUUCAAGCCAUUUGAUUCAACAGGUGCAAUAUCUCUCUAAAAAUCAUUCUACGGUGUACCUUUUGAGUGGGCCCUAACCCAUAGGUCUUUUCCGAGGAUCUUACCUGACUCUUCUAAUUUUUUCGGAGUUAUUCUCAAAUUCAUUUCAAAGUUUGACGUAAGAAUGAAUUUUCAUCAGUCAAAUGUCUUUCUCCAAGACAUUUCAAAUUCGUUUCAUCGUUGGUUCAACCUUUCUAUUUUUCAUUCCGGAGUGCCCCGACAAUUCAUGGUGGUGUUUCUCAUCGUCAUUCUCGGAUUUUGAAGACCGAAGAGGAGUUCCUCUUUAAUCCUUACAUGUUCUUCCGAAGAUGCGUGGUUCUAGCUUUAUGCCAUCCUCUGAUAAUUGUUUUUGAUUGUGACAAUUCUUCUCAUACCCAUCCGGAGCAUUUCAUGAGUUGUUUCCAUUUCUUUCAUCCGAAGGCCAUCAUGUCACAAUUCUUCAUUCUCAGCGUGUAACUAUCGUUCUCCAAAUCUUAUCGGUGCAUCGUUCAAGUAUCCUCUAGUCAGCUCAUGAUCUAUUCAUUCUCAUGUAUCUCAAUUCUCUCAAGUAUCUUCGUUCUUUUUCUAAUUCUUCCCGGUGUCUUGCUAUCUUUUCUUUUUCAUUUUUUUAAUUCUUACAGAGGUUUGUUCACGAUUCCUCUUCCUAUGUUCUCAUAUUAAUUUAUUCGUUGUUUCAAUCCUACCGGUGGUUCGUUGAAGACCUUCCCAAGUUGAGCAAUAUCUCUCUUCAAUCCUUUUUCAAUGAAUAUAAGUAGUAUGCCAAAUCCAUUGCUUGUCAUCAAUUUAAAUUGACGAAGGAUACGCAUAAUGUAAUUCUUAUUCUUGUUUCAUCCAAGGGUUUAAUCCCUUCCUUCGAAGUUUGUUCAUGAUGAAGUAAUUCUCAGUUCUAAUGUUUCAUCUUUUUCUUUUUCGGAGUUCCAAGUUUUCCGCAUUAUCUCGUCACGAAGCUCCAUCUAAAUCAUCGUAAGGCUUCACCUUGUGUUUUCAACUUCUCUUCCUUUUUAUCAACCUUUUAUUGCCGGAGUUCUUCAUGGAGGCUCUACAUGGUUUUUCGUCAAGGAUUCUUUUCAUUCUUCAAUUGUUCUUCAAGAUUUCUCUCGAAGUUAUGAUCCACCAAGCUAUACUCAAAAUUAAACAUGGUGCUCAACACAUAUUUUGUUUUGAGGAGUUCUAGCAUUCUUCAUCAUGCAUUCCGAAGUGCAAUUCUUUCUACCUUAUCUUUUGAGGUGGUGUUAUGUCAUUCUUGACAAUUUCCCUUCGUGAUUCAAGUUAUCAAGAAUGAGAUAUUUAAACCCAUCGUUUCUUCAUUGGAGUUAUCUUGGGUUAUAUUUCAUCUAAAGCUUUCCCUAAGGAUUGUUGCUAUUGAUGGUGCUUAUAAAUGACUCAAGUUCUUCAUUUAUCCUCCCGGUGAAAGAAGUUUUCAUCUCCUUGUUGAUCUCAAUCCAAUCAACUGUUUCCAUUAAUGGCCGGUUGUCACCUCAUAAUUUUGAGAUGUUUUCCAUAAGCCCACAACAAGCUUGUCCUUUUGUUGUUGAUUUUCCAACAACUCCGUUCAACCUUUCUCCGUAAGGAUGUUUUUCAAAUUCGUCUGUGGUAGAGGCAUUGUGAUGUUGCUCUCUUCACCCAUCAUAUCGCUUUGUCAAGAUCAUGUUCUUUUCCUUGCUUAUCCAUUUAACUGGAGUGAUGUUCGAAUUUGUUCUUCCUUGAACCUUGUUUAUCUCGUUUCAACCAGAGUGGUUUCAAUUCCUUGUCCAUUGUGCUCGUCUUUCAUAGCAUUGCAACCUCCAAGGUUCACAUGGUGUUCCUUGUUUCUCUUUUCUACCGUAGUGCCCUCAAUUUCGUUCAACUAUGUUGUGUUCUUCUUUCAAGUUUUCAACCUCUCAAGGUUCUUUGGUUUCACUCAUUUGUCGAAGAAGCAACUUAGUUUUACCUCUUCCUCUUGCGUUUUCUCUCCGGUGCCAUCCUUAGAUCUCAGGACGAGAUCUCUCGUAAGAGGAGGAGUGUUGUGACGCCCCAAGACCGACGCUUCAGACGCCUCCCAUGUUUUCGUUGUCGCCGUGUGUUUUAUUUGUUUGUUGCAUUUCAUCAUGGCAUCAUCCGCAUUGCAUCGGCACUCGUUGCCCUCAUUGUUUUUAAAACUUACAUCCGCUCGUAGUUGCCGCAUCCCCCUGCCUUCAUUGACCAAUCUAAGUCCAACCGGGUUUUUCGAUUCCCUCUCGUCUGACCGUUUGACCCUCUCUGCACAGUGCUCAUAACCCCCUCGCGCACGUCCGAAACUUCCGCGAACCCGAACCGGGCUAUCAUUACCGUUGGGUCCGGAUCAUCCCCAAACAUCUCUAAAACAUCUCCGUUUCUUAUUUAGACUUUCCUAGCAUAUCUAUUCUCGACCGUCGGAUUUGGAUCGGAUGAUCCAACUCAGCUCUUUUCCCAUAUAUAUAGUCUACCCCUAGUCCAUUUUGGACCAAACCCUAUUUUCUAGGGAUCCUCCUCCCCGCCGCCACUCUCUCCGGUUCCCCUCGGGAUCACCAGCGAACCAACUAGCGCCUCCCCUGGUCUCCUCCAUGUUUUCCCCAUCGAUCCAAUCCCCUAGCACCGCCACCUCUCCCUCGGGAUCCCUCCUGAUCCCCUCAAAUCCACCAACCAAACGCCACCACCCACUCCAGAUCGAGAGGAGCUCGAUCUCGACCUCUCUCCCGACCAGUGCCUCCCCUCGUCGUCGUCGGCCACCAAAACAGCAACAGCAGCCCCGCCGCCGGCUGACCGAACCAACAGAUGAGCGCGCUGCCCCCGCCUUCUUCCUUUCCUUCUGUUCUCCUUCUGCCUCUCGCUCCCCUCGGACUCAUCUCUCUCUCGUUCUGGACAGGGGAGCAACCAUGGCCGUCCGUCCAUGGAGAUGAGCCGCGGCGCCCAAGUCACCUACGACCUCGGGUCGCCUCUGCGUCGUCCUCACCGCUCGCUGGUGAGCUCCUUUGCGCCGCGUCCGACCCCUUUCUUUUCCUCGUGUCGCGCCUCUGCUUAAUUCUCCGCCUCGCCGUCGUUUUCCUGCAGGAGCCGAGGUCGUUGCCUCCUCAGUUCAUCGCGUCGCCUCGAGCUUUCCCCGCCCCAGAUCCAGCCGCCCCUGCUUCUCGUCGUGCCUCCCCGCCUUGGAUCCGGUCAUCCCCGCAACGUCCCUGCCGCCGCGAGCCACCUCUUCUGCAUCUUCACUCUGCAGCAAGGACGAGGCCAGCGCCAAGUCCCUCUCGGUCCCCUGCUUCGUUGGCCUGCUCCAGUUCGUCGCCGCCUCGCUCGCGCCCGGAUCCAGGACCCGCACGUCAAGUCUGCCGCCCGCUGUCGUCUUCUCGGCGAACAACUCCAGCCCGCCGCUUCCUGUGCCUGCCGGCGCCUGCCUGUGACCUCCUCUGCUUCGAGCCCCGUCCCGUGAAGACCGCACGCUGCCCUCGACCGUUGACCGUGCCCCGAGCGGCCUCCCAGGCCCAGUUCCAAGCCUGCCUGCCUGCCUCCCACCAAACCGGGCCUUAGCCCAUGGGUGAGCAACUCCUCUAGACCCUCUGCUCUGUUGUGGCCCAGCCAGUUUCGGCCCGUGAUGUUUUUUUCCUACCAGGACGAAUUUUCUAAUUAUCCAGAGACUGCCAGUUUUGCAGAAAAGUCCUUCAUGUUCAUGCAUUAAUAACUCUUGAACCGUGCAUCGGUUUAAAAUGAUUUAUAUAUGUAAAAUGCUUAGAAUUUUGUCUAGUUUCAUAAUAUGCAACUUUCACCCAUCUUUAAAAUGGUUAAAAUGCUAUUCUUUUAAAUAUGCUUAAAUGGCAUGCUAAAAUGAUUUAUUUCGUACCUAAAUAACCGUAGCUCCGAAUUUAAUAAAAUUCAUAUGUAAAUGGGGUGGAAUAAUGCAUAGAUUAACUUGGUGCAUUUUAUUUUGAUGUUUAACAACAUUAAAAUAUGUUUUAGAGCAGAACAGUAGAUAAUUCAAAAUAUGCACAUGGGGAUUUUCCGGAAUUGUUGUUUGUUGUUUCCUUCCUCAUUUAAACUUGCCUAGAUAGGUAGUUUUCAUAUGCUUCACCCCUUGCCAUGUUUAUUAACAUUUAAAAUUGUUGAGUAAAUUAAACGGGAGAGAAUUAAAUAAUUGUUGUGGUGUUUCGUCAAUAUGCAACUUGUUGCAUAUUCAGCUCCACUUAAUUUGUAGUAUUGUUUGUGCAUUUUGCCAUGCCAUGCCUAUUUAAACCAGACAUGCAUCAUACUUGAUUGGGCAUCAUGCCAUGUUUAUGUGAUGGUUGUUUACCAUGAUGUGUCCUUCUUUCCGGUUGCGCUUCUCCUUGAUAGUUCCGGUUACGAUGCGAUUGUGAGGAUUCGUUCGACUAUGUUGGUUCGUCUACUUCUUGGACUCGUUCUUCUUCCUUGCGGGAUCUCAGGCAAGAUGACCAUUACCCUCGAUAUCAGUUCUAUCUUUGCUUGCUAGUUGUUUGUUCUAUCGCUAUGUCACGCUACCUAUCACUUGUUUAUCAUGCCUCCCAUAUUGCCAUGUCAAGCCUCUAACCCACCUUCCUAGCAAACCGUUGUUUGGCUAUGUUACCACUUUUGCUCAGCCCCCUCUUAUAGCAUUGUUAGUUGUAGGUGAAGAUGAAGCUUGUUCCAUGUUGGAACAUGGAUAUUGUUGGGAUAUCAUAUUAUCUCUUAUUUACUUUAAUGCAUCUAUAUACUUGGUAAAGGGUGGAAGGCUCGCCUUUUGCCUGGUGUUUUGUUCCACUCUUGCCGCCCUAGUUUCCGUCAUACCGGUGGUAUGUUCCUUGAUUUUGCGUUCCUUAUGUGGUUGCGGAUUUGUGGGACCCCCUUGACAGUUCGCUUUGAAUAAAACUCCUCCAGCAAGGCCCAACCUUGGUUUUAACAUUUGCCACCUAAGCCUUUUCCCUUGGGUUCUGCAGACUCAAGGGUCAUCUUUAUUUUAACCCCCAGGCCAGUGCUCCUCUGAGUGUUAGUCCAACCUAGAGCCACUUGCGGUGCCGCCCCUAGGCAACUUGGGGUAUCUUCAGUUGCCGUACGUAGUGUUCAUCCGGUGUGCCCUGAGAACGAGAUACGUGCAACUCCUAUCGGGAUUUGUCGGCACAUCGUGUGGCUUUGCUGGUCUUGUUUUAUCAUUGUCGAAAAGUCUUGUAACCGGGAUUCCGAGUCUGAUCAGGUCUUCCCGGGAGAAGGAAUAUCCUUCAUUGACCGUGAGAGCUUGUGAUGGGCUAAGUCGGGACACCCCUGCAGGGUAUAAACUUUCAAGAGCCGUGCCCGCGGUUAUGGGGCAGAUGGGAAUUUGUUAAUGUCCGGUUGUAGAGAACUUGACACUUGACUUAAUUAAGAUGCAUCAACCGCGCGUGUAGCCAUGAUGGUCUCUUUUCGGUGGAGUCCGGGAAGUGAACACGGUUUGGGUUAUGUAUGAACGUAAGUAAUUUCAGGAUCACUUCUUGAUCACUUCUAGCUUCUCGAUCGUUGGGUUGCUUCUCUUCUCGCUCUUAUUUGCGUAUGUUAGCCACCAUAUUUGCUUAGUGCUUGCUGCAACUCCACCUCAUUACCCCAUCCUACCCAUAAGCUUAAAUAGUCUUGAUCUCGCGGGUUUUGAGAUUGCUAAGUCCUCGUGGCUCACAGAUACUUCCAAACAGUUGUAGGUGCCGAUGAUGCCAGUGCAAGUGAUGCUACCGAACUCAAGUGGGAAUUCGACGUGGACCUUGGUCGUUACUAUGUUUCGUUUCUUGAUGAUCAGUAGUGGAGCCCAGUUGGGACGAUCGGGGAUCUAGCAUUUGGGGUUAUCUUCUUUUCAUUUGUAUUUGUCUAUAGUCGAACUAUGUGUGUACUCUGAAUGAUGUAUGUUUAAUUCAUGUAUUGUGUGAAGUGGCGAUUGUAAGCCAACUCUUUAUCCCAUUCUUGUUCAUUACAUGGGACUAUGUGAAGAUGACCCUUCUUUCGACAAAACCACCAUGCGGUUAUGCCUCUAAGUCGUGCCUCGACAUGUGGGAGAUAUAGCCGCAUCGUGGGUGUUACAGUGGGGCUUGUAUAGAAAUCUUCACUCCUUAGGAGCCAGCCUCAGGAGGCCGCUCCUUAUGAGGGCCUUGGUGUCGUCCGCUUCGUGGGGCUUGGCCCCUCGCAAGGGUCUUGAGUUGUUGAUGCUGAAGUUGGGCCGUACCAGGCUGUCGAUGGAGCCAUGCCAUGGGCCGCAGGCAGGCAAGUCUAGGAACCCCCGUUCCCAGAACGCCGACAGCCGCCACUUUCACUUGUCAAUGAUCGAGCCACACUAGGUUUUAGCAUCAUCAACGUCAAUGAGCCCACGCGAAACUCGGUCCAACAUUUGCCCUGCUAAGGGAAAAUCCUGAGUAGUGUGCCUACGCGAAUCCGUUGAUUGACGCCCCGGCAAGCAUGCUCUGGCAAGGCCUUACGCGUUAGUGUGACCUUUGUGCCGACCGCCGUAAGAUCAUUAAUAGUGUAAGGGGAAGGAUAGAGAAACCAGCCCUACCUUGCACCAUGUUUUGUCGCCCACAAGAGAUCUGUGAUCCCCUCCGGCCCUUGCCGGAGACGCGAAAACGACAAGCGAAGUGCCAUCCUCCCAAGGCACGCGAACGUGGAGAGUGAUCGCGAUGGGAGAAGAAGGGAAGCAUGGGAGAAACUAAGUCGGCGUGUCCAUUGAUUUUCGCUCUAGAGUUUGCAUUUUCUUAUCCCUCGGACAAUCAAUGUUUUUCGUAUGGUUUAAACCUUUCCGUGUAAUGACACCUUGUUGUAUUUGUCUGCACCCCCACUUUGUUUUGAGCCAGCUCAACGAAGUGGGUAGCUGUGUCAAAGACUCCUAAGGAAAAACCUGCCUAGACAUGUCCUCGCCAGCUGAAUGCUAAGGACUCGCUCCUCACAGCAAUCGCGGCAGCAUGCUACUGGCGGGCAACCAAAAAGGCGUGAAAGAAAACUAACCAUACGAACUUCUAUGGAUUGAAUUUUGCUUCUAGAUAUCUUUUAGAUUUGGUCGCGGGAGGUACUUUUAUGGAAAUUGCUUUAGGAGAAGCCACUAAACUCCUAGAUAAUAUUAUGGUUAAUUAUUCUCAACGGCAUACCGAAAGAUCUUCUUCUAGUAAAAAAGUGCAUGUGAUUGAAGAGAUUAAUGUUUUAAGUGGAAUGAUGGAUGAACUUAUGAAAUUAUUUGCUAGCAAGAGUGCUCCUAUUGAUCCUAAUGAUAUGCCUUUGUCUACUUUGAUUGAGAAUAAUAAUGAAUCUAUGGAUGUGAAUUUUGUUGGUAGGAACAAUUUUGGUAGUAACUCGUAAAGAGGUAAUUUUAAUCCUAGGCCAUUUCCUAGUAAUUCCUCUAAUAAUUAUGGUAAUUCCUACAACAAUUCUUAUGGAAAUUAUAAUAAGAUUCCCUCUUAUUUUGAGAAUAGUGUUAAAGAAUUUAUGAGCUCACAAAAGAGUUUCAACGCUUUGGUUGAAGAAAAAUUGCUUAAGAUUGAUGAUUUGGCUAGGAACGUGGAUACAAUUUCUCUUGAGAUUGAUAUUCUUUGAAAAUUAGAUCUAUUCCACCCAAGCAUGAUAUUAACGAGUCUCUUAAAGCUAUGAGAAUUCCCAUUGAUGAGUGUAAAGAAAGAACCGCUAAGAUGUGUGCUAAGCCAGAUUGGUUUGUAAAAACAUGUUCUUCUAGUUUUCGUGAAAAAUAAUGAUGAAGAUCUUAAAGUGAUUGAUGUGACUCCUAUUGAAUCUUUGUUUUCCAAUAUAAAUCUUGAUGAAGAUGGCACUGGAUAUGAGUCAACUUUAUUUAAAAGGCGUCCCAAUGAUUCGGAGUUUAUAGAUCUUGAUGCAAAAAUUGAUAAAAGUGGGAUUGGCGAGGUCAAAACUUUGAUAGAUUGUAUUUCCUUGUUGCAAUCCAUGUUGUAUUCUCCUCAUGCUUAUAAUCAAAAUAAAUCUUUUACUAAACAUAUUGUUGAUGCUAUGAUGAAAUCUUUUGAAGAAAAGCUUUAAUUGGAAGUUUCUAUCCCUAGAAAACUUGAUGAUGAGUGGGAACCUGCUAUUAAGAUUAAGAUUAAUGAUUAUAAGUGCCAUGAUUUGUGUGAUUUGGGUGCUAGCGUUUCCACGAUUCCAAAAACUUUAUGUGAUGUGUUGGGUUUCCAUCAAUGUGAUGAUUGUUAUUUAAAUUUGCAUCUUGCAGAUUCCACUAUUAAGAAGCCUAUGGGCAGUAUUAAUGAUGUUCUUAUUGUUGCAAAUAGGAACUAUGUGCCCGUAGAUUUCAUUGUUCUUGAUAUAGAUUGCAAUCCUACAUGUCCUAUUAUUCUUGGUAGACCUUUCCUUAGAAUGAUUGGUGCAAUUAUUGAUAUGAAAGAAGGAAAUAUCAAAUUUCAGUUUCUGUUAAGGAAGGGCAUGGAACACUUUAAUAUAAAGAAAAUUAAGUUGCCAUAUGAAUCUAUUAUGAGAGCUACUUAUGGAUUGCAUACCUAAGAUGACAAUACCUAGAUCUAUUUUUGUAUGCCUAGCUAAGGGCGUUAAACAAUAGCGCUUGUUGGGAGGCAACCCAAUUUUAUUUUUGUGUUUUUUCUUUUGCUACUGUUCUUGAGUAAAAUACACAUUAUUACCUUUGUAGUAAUUGUGUUUUCAUGUUUUAAUUAGUGUUUGUGCCAAGUAAGACCUUUGGGAUAGCUUACGGUGAUAGUUGAUUUGAUCUUGCUGAAAAACAGAAACUUUUGCGCCCAGUUAUAUAAUUCUCAUUUUUAACAGAAGCGCGAUAAAAUACUGAUUCUUUUUGCAGAAGAUUAAGAUACAAAUUUCCUCUGUUGUCCUAAUUUUUCGAAAAAAUUGGAGUUACAGAACUAUUCGAAGUAUUCAGAUUGCUACAGACUGUUCUGUUUUUGAUAGAUUCUGUUUUCUAUGUGUUGUUUUCUUAUUUUGAUGAAUCUAUAGGUAGUAUCAGGGGGUAUGAACCAUGGAGCUGGAAUAUAGUAGAUAUUACACAAAUAUAAAUAAAGAAUGAGUUCACAACAAUACGAAAAGUGGUGAUUUUAUUUUCUUACACUAACGGAUCUCAUGAGAUUUUCUGUUGAGUUUUGUGUUGUGAAGUUUUCAAGUUUUGGGUAAGGAUUUGAUGGACUAUGGAAUAAGGAGUGUCAAGAGCCUAAGCUUGGGGAUGUCCAAGGCUCCCCAAGGUAAUAUUCAAGGACAACAAAGAGCCUAAGCUUGGGGAUGCCCCGGAAGGCAUCCCCUCUUUUGUCUUUGUCUAUCGGUAACUUUACUUGAGGCUAUAUUUUUAUUCACCACAGGAUAUGUGUUUUGCUUGGAGCAUCUUGUAUGAUAUGAGUCUUUACUUUUUAGUUUGUCACAAUAAUUCUUGAUGUACACACCUUUUGAGAGGGACACGCACGAAUCGUGAUUUAUUAGAAUACUCUAUAUGCUUCACUUAUAUCUUUUGAGCUAGGCAAUUUUGCUCUAGUGCUUCACUUAUAUAUUUUUAGAGAACGGCGGUGGUUUUAUUUUAUAGAAAUUGUUGAACUCUCGUGCUUCACUUAUAUUACUUUGAGAGUCUUUCUAAACAUCAUGGUAAUUUGCUUUGGUUAUAAAUUAUGUCCAAAUAUGAUAGACAUCCAAGAGAGAUAUAAUAAAAACUUUCAUAUAAAGUGCAUUGAAUACUAUGAUAAGUUUGAUUCCUUAUGAUUGUUUUGAGAUAUGAGGAUGGUAUUAUUAGAGUACUGCUAGUGAGUAAUUGUGAAUUGUAGAAAUACUUGAAUUAAAGUUUAUGAUUCCCGUAGCAUGCACGUAUGGUGAACCGUUAUGUGAUGAAGUCGAAGCAUGAUUUAUUUAUUGAUCGUUUUCCUUAUGAGUGGCGGUCGGGGACGAGCGAUGGUCUUUUCCUACCAAUCUAUCUCCCUAGGAGCAUGUGCGUAGUAUUUUUUUGAUGACUAAUAGAUUUUUGCAAUAAGUAUGUGAGUCCUAUAUGACUAAUGUUGAGCCCAUGGAUUAUACGCACUGUCACCCUUCCACCAUUGUUAGCCCCUCUAGUACCGCGCAACUUUCGCCGGUACCAUACACCCACCAUAUAACUUUCUCAAAUAAGCCACCAUACCUAGCUAUUAUGGCAUUUCAUAGCCAUUCCGAGAUAUAUUCCAUGCAACUUUCCACCGUUUCGUUUAUUAUGACACGCUUCAUUAUUGUCAUAUUGCUUUGCAUGAUCAUGUAGUUGACAUAGUAUUUGUGGCAAAGCCACCGUUCAUAAUUUUUAUACAUGUCACUCUUGAUUCAUUGCACAUCCUGGUACACCACCGGAGGCAUUCAUAUAGAGUCAUAUUUUGUUCUAAGUAUCGAGUUGUAAUUCUUGAGUUGUAAGUAAAUAAAAGUGUGAUGAUCAUCAUUAUUAGAGCAUUGUCCCAUGUGAGAAAAGGAUGAUGAAGACUAUGAUUCCCUCACAAGUCGGGAGGAGACUCCGGAUGAAAAAAAAGAAAGAAAAAAGAGGCCAAAAAAACCAAAAAAAGAGAGAAAAGAGAGAAGGGGCAAUGUUACCAUCCUUUUUCCACACUUGUGCUUCAAAGUAGCACCAUGAUCUUCAUGAUAGAGAGUCUCCUAUGUUGUCACUUUCAUAUACUAGUGGGAAUUUUUCAUUAUAGAACAUGGCUUGUAUAUUCCAAUGAUGGGCAUCCUCAAAUUGCCCUAGGUAUUCGUGAGCAAGCAAGUUGGAUGCACACCCACUUAGUUUAUUUUUGAGCUUUCAUAAAUUUGUAGCUCUAGUGCAUCUGUUGCAUGGGCAUCUCCGUAGCCCGUUGAUACGCCUAGUUGAUGUGAGACUAUCUCUUUCUUUUUUUCUUUUCCACAACCACCAUAUUCUAUUCCACCUAUAGUGCUAUGUCCAUGGCUCACGCUCAUGUAUUGCGUGAAAUGUAAAAAAGUUUGAGAACACCAAAAGUAUGAAACAAUUGCUUGGCUUGUCAUCGGGGUUGUGCAUGAUUUGAAUAUUUUGUAUGAUGAAGAUGGAGCACAACCAGACUAUAUGAUUUUGUAGCGAUAGCUUUCUUUGGCCAUGUUAUUUUGAGAAGACAUGAUUUCUUUAUUAGUAUGCUUGAAGUAUUAUUGUUUUUAUGUCAGUAUUAAACUUUUGUUUUGAAUCUUAUGGAUCUGAACAUUGAUGCCACAAUAAAGACAAUUACAUGGAUGAACAUGUUGUUGGGGAACGUAGUAAUUUCAAAAAAAAUCCUACGCACACGCAAGAUCAUGGUGAUGCAUAGCAACGAGAGGGGAGAGUGUUGUCUACGUACCCUCGUAGACCGAAAGCGGAAGCGUUAACACAACGCGGUUGAUGUAGUCGUACGUCUUCACGAUCCGACCGAUCAAGUACCGAACGUACGGCACCUCCGAGUUCAGCACACGUUCAGCUCGAUGACGUCCCUCGAACUCCGAUCCAGCCGAGUGUUGAGGGAGAGUUUCGUCAGCACGACGGCGUGGUGACAAUGAUGAUGUUCUACCGACGCAGGGCUUCGCCUAAGCACCGCUACGAUAUUAUCGAGGUGUAAUAUGGUGGAGGGGGGCACCGCACACGGCUAAGAGAUCAAUGAUAAAUUGUGUGUUUAGAGGUGCCCCCCUGCCCCCGUAUAUAAAGGAGCAAGGGGGGGUUCGGCCGGCCAAGGGGAGAGGCGCGCCAGGAGGAGUCCUACUCCUACCGGGAGUAGGACUCCCCCCCUUUUCCAUAUUGGACUAGGAGAGAGAGGGGGAAGAGGUGGAGGGGAAGAAGGAAAGGGGGCGCCGCCCCCCCCCUCUCCUUGUCCUAUUCGGACUGGGGGGAGGGGCAUGCAGCCGUGCCCUGGCCUCCUCUCCUCUCUUCCACCUAGGCCCACUAAGGCCCAUUAAAUUACCGGGGGGUUCCAGUAACCUCCCGGUACUCCGGAAAAAUCCCGAUUUCACCCGGAGCACUUCCGAUAGCCAAACAUAGGCUUCCAAUAUAUCAAUCUUUAUGUAUCAACCAUUUCGAGACUCCUCCUUAUGUCCGUGAUCACAUCCGGGACUCCGAACAACCUUCGGUACAUCAAAACAUAUAAACUCAUAAUAUAACUAUCAUCGUAACGUUAAGCGUGCGGACCCUACGGGUUCGAGAACUAUGUAGACAUGACCGAGACACCUCUCCGGUCAAUAACCAAUAGCGGAACCUGGAUGCUCAUAUUGGUUCCCACAUAUUCUACGAAGAUCUUUAUCGGUCAGACCGCAUAACAACAUACGUUGUUCCCUUUGUCAUCGGUAUGUUACUUGCCCGAGAUUCGAUCGUCGGUAUCUCGAUACCUAGUUCAAUCUCAUUACUGGCAAGUCUAUUUACUCGUUCCGUAAUACAUCUCCCGCAACUAACUCAUUAGUUACAAUGCUUGCAAGGCUUAUAGUGAUGUGUAUUACUGAGUGGGCCCAGAGAUACCUCUCCGACAAUCGGAGUGACAAAUCCUAAUCUCGAAAUACGCCAACCCAACAAGUACCUUUGGAGACACCUAUAGAGCACCUUCAUAAUCACCCAGUUACGUUGUGACGUUUGGUAGCACACAAAGUGUUCCUCUGGUAAACGGGAGUUGCAUAAUCUCAUAGUCAUAGGAACAUGUAUAAGUCAUGAAGAAAGCAAUAGCAACAUACUAAACGAUCAAGUGCUAAGCUAACGGAAUGGGUCAAGUCAAUCACAUCAUUCUCCUAAUGAUGUGAUCCCGUUAAUCAAAUGACAACUCAUGUCUAUGGCUAGGAAACAUAACCAUCUUUGAUCAACGAGCUAGUCAAGUAGAGGCAUACUAGUGACACUCUGUUUGUCUAUGUAUUCACACAAGUAUUAUGUUUCCGGUUAAUACAAUUCUAGCAUGAAUAAUAAACAUUUAUCAUGAUAUAAGGAAAUAAAUAAUAACUUUAUUAUUGCCUUUAGGGCAUAUUUCCUUCAGUCUCCCACUUGCACUAGAGUCAAUAAUCUAGAUUACACAGUAAUGAUUCUUACACCCAUGGAGUCUUGGUGUUGAUCAUGUUUUGCUCGUGGAAGAGGCUUAUUCAACGGGUCUGCAACAUUCAGAUCCGUAUGUAUCUUGCAAAUUUCUAUGUCUCCCACCUGGACUAAAUCCCGGAUGGAAUUGAAGCGUCUUUUGAUGUGCUUGGUUCUUUUGUGAAAGCUGGAUUCCUUUGCUAAGGCAAUUGCACCAGUAUUCUCACAAAAGAUUUUCAUUGGACCCGAUGCACAAGGUAUGACACCUAGAUCGGAUAUGAACUCCUUCAUCCAGACUCCUUCAUUUGCUGCUUCCGAAGCAGCUAUGUACUCCGCUUCACACGUAGAUCCCGCCACGACACUUUGCUUAGAACUGCACCAACUGACAGCUCCACCGUUCAAUGUAAACACGUAUCCGGUUUGCGAUUUAGAAUCGUCCGGAUCAGUGUCAAAGCUUGCAUCAACGUAACCAUUUACGAUGAGCUCUUUGUCACCUCCAUAAAUGAGAAACAUAUCCUUAGUCCUUUUCAGGUAUUUCAGGAUGUUCUUGACUGCUGUCCAGUGAUCCACUCCUGGAUUACUUUGGUACCUCCCUGCUAAACUUAUAGCAAGGCACACAUCAGGUCUGGUACACAGCAUUGCAUACAUGAUAGAGCCUAUGGCUGAAGCAUAGGGAACAUCUUUCAUCUUCUCCCUAUCUUCUGCAGUGGUCGGGCAUUGAGUCUUACUCAAUCUCAAACCUUGUAAUACAGGCAAGAACCCUUUCUUUGCUUGAUCCAUUUUGAACUUCUUCAAAACUUUGUCAAGGUAUGUGCUUUGUGAAAGUCCAAUUAAGCCUCUUGAUCUAUCUCUAUAUAUCUUGAUGCCCAAUAUAUAUGCAGCUUCACCGAGCUCUUUCAUUGAAAAACUCUUAUUCAAGUAUCCCUUUAUGCUAUCCAGAAAUUCUAUAUCAUUUCCAAUUAGCAAUAUGUCAUCCACAUAUAAUAUCAGAAAUGCUACUGAGCUCCCACUCACUUUCUUGUAAAUACAGGCUUCUCCAAAAGUCUGUAUAAAACCAAAUGCUUUGAUCACACUAUCAAAGUGUUUAUUCCAACUCCGAGAGGCUUGCACCAGUCCAUAAAUGGAUCGCUGGAGCUUGCACACUUUCUUAGCUCCCUUUGGAUCGACAAAACCUUCCGGUUGCAUCAUAUACAACUCUUCUUCCAGAAAUCCAUUCAGGAAUGCAGUUUUGACAUCCAUUUGCCAAAUUUCAUAAUCAUAAAAUGCGGCAAUUGCUAACAUGAUUCGGACAGACUUGAGCAUCGCUACGGGUGAGAAUGUCUCAUCGUAGUCAAUCCCUUGAACUUAUCGAAAACCUUUCGCAACAAGUCGAGCUUUAUAGACAGUAACAUUACCGUCAACGUCAGUCUUCUUCUUGAAGAUCCAUUUAUUUUCAAUGGCUUGCCGAUCAUCCGGCAAGUCAACCAAAGUCCAUACUUUGUUCUCAUACAUGGAUCCCAUCUCGGAUUUCAUGGCCUCAAGCCAUUUUGCGGAAUCUGGGCUCACCAUCACUUCUUCAUAGUUCGUAGGUUCGUCAUGGUCUAGUAACAUAACCUCCAGAACAGGAUUACCGUACCACUCUGGUGCGGAUCUUAAUCUGGUUGACCUACGAGGUUCAGUAAUAACUUGAUCUGAAGUUUCAUGAUCAUUAUCAUUUACUUCCUCACUAAUUGGUGUAGGUGUUGCAGAAACUGGUUUUUGUGAUGAUCUACUUUCCAAUAAGGGAGCAGGUACAGUUACCUCAUCAAGUUCUACUUUCCUCCCACUCACUUCUUUCGAGAGAAACUCCUUCUCUAGAAAGGAUCCAUUCUUAGCAACGAAUGUCUUGCCUUCGAAUCUGUGAUAGAAGGUGUACCCAACGGUCUCCUUUGGGUAUCCUAUGAAGACACAUUUCUCCGAUUUAGGCUCGAGCUUAUCAGGUUGAAGUUUCUUCACAUAAGCAUCGCAACCCCAAACUUUAAGAUACGACAACUUUGGUUUCUUGCCAAACCAUAGUUCAAAAGGCGUCGUCUCAACGGAUUUCGAUGGUGUCCUAUUUAGAGUGAAUGCAGCUGUCUCUAAAGCAUAACCCCAAAAUGAUAGCGGUAAAUCAGUAAGAGACAUCAUAGUUCGCACCAUAUCUAAUAAAGUACGAUUACGACGUUCAGACACACCAUUACGCUGUGGUGUUCCGGGUGGCGUGAGUUGCGAAACUAUUCCGCAUUGUUUCAAAUGUAGACCAAACUCGUAACUCAAAUAUUCCCCUCCACGAUCAGAUCGUAGGAAUUUUAUUUUCUUGUUACGAUGAUUUUCAACUUCACUCUGAAAUUCUUUGAACUUUUCAAAUGUUUCAGACUUAUGUUUCAUUAAGUAGAUAUACCCAUAUCUGCUCAAAUCAUCUGUGAAGGUGAGAAAAUAACGAUAUCCGCCACGAGCCUCAAUAUUCAUCGGACCACAUACAUCUGUAUGUAUGAUUUCCAACAAAUCAGUUGCUCUCUCCAUAGUUCCGGAGAACGGUGUAUUAGUCAUCUUGCCCAUGAGACACGGUUCGCAAGUACCAAGUGAUUCAUAAUCAAGUGAUUCCAAAAGUCCAUCAUUAUGGAGUUUCUUCAUGCGCUUUACACCGAUAUGACCUAAACGGAAGUGCCACAAAUAAGUUGCACUAUCAUUAUCAACUCUGCAUCUUUUGGCUUCGACAUUAUAAAUAUGGUGUCACUACUACCGAGAUUCAUUAAAAAUAGACCACUCUUCAAGGGUGCAUGAUCAUAAAAGAUAUUACUCAUAUAAAUAGAACAACCAUUAUUCUCUGAUUUAAAUGAAUAACCGUCUCGCAUCAAACAAGAUCCAGAUAUAAUGUUCAUGCUCAACGCUGGCACCAAAUAACAAUUAUUUAGGUCUAAUACUAAUCCCGAAGGUAGAUGUAGAGGUAGCGUGCCGACGGCGAUCACAUCGACUUUGGAACCGUUUCCCACGCGCAUCGUCACCUCGUCCUUGGCCAGUGUUCGCUUAAUCCGUAGUCCCUGUUUCGAGUUGUGAAUAUUAGCAACAGAACCAGUAUCAAAUACCCAGGUGCUACUGCGAGCUCUGGUAAGGUACACAUCAAUAACAUGUAUAUCACAUAUACCUUUGUUCACCUUGCCAUCCUUCUUAUCCGCCAAAUACUUGGGGCAGUUCCGCUUCCAGUGACCAGUCUGCUUGCAGUAGAAGCACUCAGUCUCAGGCUUAGGUCCAGAUUUGGGUUUCUUCUCCUGAACAGCAACUUGCUUGCUGUUCUUCUUGAAGUUCCCCUUCUUCUUCCCUUUGCCCUUUUUCUUGAAACUAGUGGUCUUAUUGACCAUCAACACUUGAUGCUCCUUUUUGAUUUCUACCUCCGCUGCCUUUAGCAUUGCGAAGAGCUCGGGAAUUGUCUUAUUCAUCCCUUGCAUGUUAUAGUUCAUCACGAAGCUCUUGUAGCUUGGUGGCAGUGAUUGAAGAAUUCUGUCAAUGACGCUAUCAUCCGGAAGAUUAACUCCCAGUUGAAUCAAGUGAUUGUUAUACCCACACAUUUUGAGUAUAUGCUCACUGACAGAACUAUUCUCUUCCAUCUUGCAGCUGUAGAACUUAUUGAAGACUUCAUAUCUCUCAAUCCGGGCAUUUGCUUGAAAUAUUAACUUCAACUCCUGGAACAUCUCAUAUGCUCCAUGACGUUCAAAACGUCGUUGAAGACCCGGUUCUAAGCCGUAAAGCAUGGCACACUGAACUAUCGAGUAGUCAUCGGCUUUGCUCUGCCAGACGUUCAUAACCUCUGGUAUUGCUCUUGCAGCAGGCCUGGCACCCAGCGGUGCUUCCAGGACGUAAUUCUUCUGUGCAGCAAUGAGGAUAAUCCUCAAGUUACGGACCCAGUCCGUAUAAUUGCUACCAUCAUCUUUCAGCUUUGCUUUCUCAAGGAACGCAUUAAAAUUCAACGGAACAACAGCACGGGCCAUCUAUCUACAAUUAACAUAGACAAGCAAGAUACUAUCAGGUACUAAGUUCAUGAUAAAUUUAAGUUCUAUUAAUCAUAUUACUUAAGAACUCCCACUUAGAUAGACAUCCCUCUAAUCAUCUAAGUGAUUACGUGAUCCAAAUCAACUAAACCAUAACCGAUCAUCACGUGAAAUGGAGUAGUUUUCAAUGGUGAACAUCACUAUGUUGAUCAUAUCUACUAUAUGAUUCAUGCUCGACCUUUCGGUCUCAGUGUUCUGAGGCCAUAUCUGCAUAUGCUAGGCUCGUCAAGUUUAACCUGAGUAUUCUGCGUGUGCAAAACUGGCUUGCACCCGUUGUAGAUGGACGUAGAGCUUAUCACACCCGAUCAUCACAUGGUGUCUGGGCACGACGAACUUUGGCAAUGGUGCAUACUCAGGGAAGACACUUUUAUCUUGAAAUUUAGUGAGAGAUCAUCUUAUAAUGCUACCGUCAAUCAAAGCAAGAUAAGAUGCAUAAAAGAUAAACAUCACAUGCAAUCAAUAUAAGUGAUAUGAUAUGGCCAUCAUCUUGUGCUUGUGAUCUCCAUCUCCGAAGCACCGUCAUGAUCACCAUUGUCACCGGCGCGACACCUUGAUCUCCAUCGUAGCAUCGUUGUCGUCUCGCCAACUAUUUCUUUUACGACUAUCGCUACCGCUUAGUGGUAAAGUAAAACAAUUACAUGGCAAUUGCAUUGCAUACAAUAAAGCAACAACCAUAUGGCUCCUGCCAGUUGCCGAUAACUCGGUUACAAAACAUGAUCAUCUCAUACAAUAAAAUUCAGCAUCAUGUCUUGACCAUAUCACAUCACAACAUGCCCUGCAAAAACAAGUUAGACGUCCUCUACUUUGUUGUUGCAAGUUUUACGUGGCUGCUACGGGCUUAGCAAGAACCGUUCUUACCUACGCAUCAAAACCACAACGAUAGUUUGUCAAGUUGGUGUUGUUUUAACCUUCGCAAGGACCGGGCGUAGCCACACUCGGUUCAACUAAAGUGAGAGAGACAGACACCCGCCAGUCACCUUUAAGCAACGAGUGCUCGCAACGGUGAAACCAGUCUCGCGUAAGCGUACGCGUAAUGUCAGUCCGGGCCGCUUCAUCUCACAAUACCGCUGAACCAAAAUAUGACAUACUGGUAAGCAGUAUGACUUAUAUCGCCCACAACUCACUUGUGUUCUACUCGUGCAUAUUUCAUGAACGCAUAAAAACAGGCUCUGAUACCACUGUUGGGGAAUGUAGUAAUUUCAAAAAAAUUCCUACGCACACGCAAGAUCAUGGUGAUGCAUAGCAACGAGAGGGGAGAGUGUUGUCUACAUACCCUCGUAGACCGAGAGCGAAAGCGUUAACACAAUGCGGUUGAUGUAGUCAUACGUCUUCACGAUCCGACCGAUCAAGUACCGAAUGUACGGCACCUUCGAGUUCAGCACACGUUCAGCUCGAUGACGUCCCUCGAACUCCGAUCCAGCCGAGUGUUGAGGGAGAGUUUCGUCAGCACGACGGCGUGGUGACAAUGAUGAUGUUCUACCGACGCAGGGCUUCACCUAAGCACCGCUACGAUAUUAUCGAGGUGUAAUUUGGUGGAGGGGGCACCGCACACGUCUAACAGAUCAAUGAUCAAUUGUGUGUUUAGAGGUGCCCCCCUGCCCCCGUAUAUAAAGGAGCAAGGGGGGGUUCGGCCGGCCAAGGGGAGAGGCGCGCCAGGAGGAGUCCUACUCCUACCGGGAGUAGGACUCCCCCCCCUUUCCAUGUUGGACUAGGAGAGAGAGGGGGAAGAGGUGGAGGGGAGGAAGGAAAGGGGGGGCGCCGCCCCCCUCUCCUUGUCCUAUUCGGACUGGGGGGAGGGGCGUGCGGCCCUGCCCUGGCCUCCUCUCCUCUCUUCCACCAAGGCCCACUAAGGCCCAUUAAGUUACCGGGGGGUUCCGGUAACCUCCCGGUACUCCGGAAAAAAUCCCGAUUUCACCCGAAACACUUCCGAUAUCCAAACAUAGGCUUCCAAUAUAUCAAUCUUUAUGUCUCGACCAUUUCGAGACUCCUCGUUAUGUCCGUGAUCACAUUCGGGACUCCGAACAACCUUCGGUACAUCAAAACAUAUAAACUCAUAAUAUAACUGUCAUCGUAACGUUAAGCGUGUGGACCCUACGGGUUCGAGAACUAUGUAGACAUGACCGAGACACCUCUCCGGUCAAUAACCAAUAGCGGAACCUGGAUGCUCAUAUUGGUUCCCACAUAUUCUACGAAGAUCUUUAUCGGUCAGACCGCAUAGCAACAUACGUUGUUCCCUUUGUCAUCGGUAUGUUACUUGCCCGAGAUUCGAUUGUCGGUAUCUCGAUACCUAGUUCAAUCCCGUUACUGGCAAGUCUCUUUACUCGUUCCGUAAUACAUCAUCCCGCAACUAACUCAUUAGUUACAAUGCUUGCAAGGCUUAUAGUGAUGUGUAUUACUGAGUGGGCCCAGAGAUACCUCUCCGACAAUCGGAGUGACAAAUCCUAAUCUCGAAAUACGCCAACCCAACAAGUACCAUUGGAGACACCUGUAGAGCACAUUUAUAAUCACCCAGUUACGUUGUGACGUUUGGUAGCACACAAAGUGUUCCUCUGGUAAACGGGAGUUGCAUAAUCUCAUAGUCAUAGGAACAUGUAUAAGUCAUGAAGAAAGCAAUAGCAACAUACUAAACGAUCGAGUGCUGAGCUAACGGAAUGGGUCAACUCAAUCACAUCAUUCUCCUAAUGAUGUGAUCCCGUUAAUCAAAUGACAACUCAUGUGUAUGGCUAGGAAACAUAACCAUCUUUGAUCAAUGAGCUAGUCAAGUAGAGGCAUACUAGUGACACUCUGUUUGUCUAUGUAUUCACACAAGUAUUAUGUUUCCGGUUAAUACAAUUCUAGCAUGAAUAAUAAACAUUUAUCAUGAUAUAUGGAAAUAAAUAAUAACUUUAUUAUUGCUUCUAGGGCAUAUUUCCUUCACAUAUUAGGUAGCAUUCCACAUCAAAAAUUAUGUUUUAUCAUUUACCUACUCCAGGAUGAGCAGGAAUUAAGCUUGGGGAUGCUUGAUACGUCUCCAAUGUCUCUAUAAUUUUUGAUUGUUCCAUGCUAUUAUAUUAUCUGUUUUGAAUGUUUUAUAUCCAUUAAUAUGCUAUUUUAUAUUAUUUUCUGGGACUAACCUAUUAACCUAGAGCCCAGUGCCAGUUUCUGUUUUUUCUUGUUUUUGAGCUUCGUCGAAAAGUAAUACCAAACGGAGUCCAAACGGAAUAAAAUUUCAUGAUGCUUUUUCUUGGACUAGAAGACACCUAGGAUACUUGGAGUUCAAGUCAGAAGAGCCACGAGGCGACGACAAGGGUGGAGGGCGCAACCAGGGGGUAGGGCGCACCGCCCUAUGUUGUGGGCCCCACAUGACCUUCCUGGCCUAGUUCUGCCUCCUAUAUAUUCACAUAUAUUCCCAAACCACCAGAAGCAUCCAUGAAAACACUUAUGCACCACCACAACCUUCUGUUCCCAUGAGAUCCCAUCUUAGGGCCUUUUCCGGCAUCCUGCCGGAGGGGGAUUCGAUCACGGAGGGCAUCUACAUCAACUCUAUUGCCCUUCUGAUGAAGCGUGAGUAGUUUACCUUAGAUCUACGGGUCCAUAGUUAGUAGCUAGAUGGCUUCUUCUCUCUCUUUGAUUCUUAAUACCAUGUUCUCCUCGAUAUUCUACUACUGGAUUGAUACCUUGGUUCAUAACUAAGGGAAAUACUUAUCUCUACUUUGCUGCAUCACCCUUUCCUCUUCUAGAGAAAAACCAACGCAAGCUUAAGAAGUAGCAAGGAGAAGAACAAGAGAAGAAGAGGAAGUGAAGAGAUGGCUGAGUGGUAGCGCUGGUUGAUCGAUGGAUCGGUGAUGUGGUGGAGCAGCGGCUGAUAGCGGUGAUGGAUGGCGGCGGUGGCUGGUUGGCACGCCGCCACGCUGGCCUAGCCGCGGCCGGAGGUGGAGAAGCAGGCGGAGGAAGGACAGAUGUGCCAGGCCCAAAAGGGGAUCGAGGAUGAACUUGGGAUUUUGACACCUCACGGUUGAUCUUCCCCUUUGCAAUUUGGCCCCUCUCCUUUUCUUCUUUCGGUACAAGUUGGUCCUCCUCUUCAUUAGGCGGACCCUUGAAGCUUUAAUGUUCAUCAAACUAGGGUCCCUCCAUCUUUCUUUCCUGCCCUUGUCUCUUCUGGUUAGCCACAUAGUCCAAACCAUGAAGUUUAUAGUUCCUUUGUGCACUUUUCUGAAAAAUAGACCAAAGACUAGUAUGCGAUCCCUUUAUAUGAUUUUCAUUCAAUUAUUCAACAUUUCCAAGAAUUGAUGGUCAGAACUAAACAAAUGAUAUAUUUGUGACAAAAUUAUAUAUAUGAAAUGUGCUUAUCAAGUUUCCCCACACUUAAACUUUUGCUUGUAUUCAAGCAAAGGCAUAUGACAAGAGCAAGAAUAUGAAUAGUGAGCUAAGUAAAGAAUGUCCUGGUAAAACAGAUCUCCAAACAAUGCAUGCUUUGGACCUUGGUAAUGAAAAUUAAUGGUUAAGAGUACUACAUAUCAAUAGGACACUAGUAAACUCGAUCAUUUUAAACUUUUGCAAUGAUAAACAAAGAUUAGCAAGUUCAAAUGCUGAUUGUGCCAAAAGGUUCCUAAAGAGAGCACGAUCCUCACUUAUUACCAGGAACACAACAUUGUGGUUGAACCACUUAUUGAAAUGGAAACACAUAUUGAAAAUAUAUUAUCGGUCUCACCAAAAGAACAUACCACCGAUCCCGAGAACAUGGUAUACACCUGGCUUGACCAAUUAUUAGUAUUUUUUGUCUCCCCAAAGGAACAUACCACCGAUCCAGAGAACAUGGUAUACACCUGGUUCAACAAUUACAUUUUUAUUAUUAAUUACUGCCCAGGCUAACCCGAUUUCACAUGGCACGGAUCCAGGGAACAUGACAUGCUACUAUAGGUAGUGAUACUUAUUUAUUCAUUGUUACUUAUUUAACAAAUGAAUACAAAAAGGAAACAAGAAUCAUCACUCAUCCAGGUCUUGUUCACAUAGUACCGAUCCAGGGAACAUGGCAUGCUAGUCCAUAGUGGUGAGUGAUUGCUCUAAAUGGGAACACAUUAGGCACAAACUAAGCAUCUAUCACUUAAUGAUCUAGAUGUAUCAAGGUAAAAGCAGAAAAUGAUUAAGCUUUCUAGUGUACUAGGGAUUUGAGCACUCAAAACUAAUACCCUUCACUACUUUCAGCAAAGCAAGCAUUGUAUAGAUCACUAGUUUACAAGGCAUUCAACAAUCAAUUCACGUAUUCACAUCAAGCACCAUAUGUCAAAGGUCAAAUUCAGUGGGACAACAUUUAAGAAUUGGCUCAAGGAACCCAAAUAGCAAUUGAUUACAGCAUGUAUAAUGUCCGAUGGUAUUCAGAUUGGGGUCAUGAAAUAGCUCACCAGGCUUAUAUUAUGUAGGUCUCGCACAAUCACUCUCUAAACUUUAGCUCUUCUCCUUUUUCUUCCACUUGCAAGCUCCAACUUCUCUCUUCUAUAUGUGUGCCACAUUGCUUCUCCUCAUCACAGUGCUUUGACUCCACCGGGAUCCCAAGGGAUGUCACCUCGAAGCUGGUCAGCAUGUAGUAAACGAUGCAGUAGCAAAAACCUGGAAAGGCAUACAACAAAAGAGACAAGACAAGUGGUAGGGAUAAUACCCUCCAAGUCAUCAAUCGAGUGUCCAAUUACAUAAGCAUAGCUAUAAAGCACAUGUUUAGGAUGAUAUGAAUAAAUGAUCUCAACGCUGGCAUGUGGAUGAUAUAUUUCAUUAAGCAUAACUCUAGCAUGGGGAGAAUAAGCGUCAUAAUAGCAAAUGUGAGAAAUGCCACUAACAGGGUAUGUAUGAUCCUGUCCUAGCAAAUAAUUUUUCAAGUCUAGCUUAAUUGAUGGUAUCAUGUAAUGCAAGGUAGAAGCAAAUAAAUCAUAAGGACGCAUGUCAUCAAGAGGAUUAGAUAAACCUGCUACAUCACGCUCUUGUAUGACAAUAGGCAAAUGAAUUCCUGGUUCUUCAAGUUCAUCUAUAGCAGUUUCUUUUACUUCUUCGGGAGAGAUAGACAUUGGAUCUUCAUCUUGAUCACUUGGGCAUUCAAGCUCUGGAUCGUCUUGUUCCUUGGCUUUGAGAAUUACUUCUUGGAUCUGAAGUAUCUCUUCCUCUGGACUCUCACUAUCUUGCUCAGUUGAAUGUGAAGGUGUUGGAACCUCACAUGUAUCAAGGGAUAUCCCAGAAAUACUCAGCUCAAGCUGUGAUGAGAUAGUACUGCCAGUAUUAAUGUUCCUCUCGAUCUUCCUUACUUCUUCCACUAGCUCCUUUCCACUCUUAAUCUUCUUCAUCUCAUCUAGUAUCAGCUUCCUAAUAGGAUCAUCCUCGCCACUCCAAGUGAAUUCAAGGCUAAGAAGAGUGAUCUUCUCUAUAUCAUCGAACUCAUUUUGUGUGGGCACUUGCACAUGAGAUUCCUCAACGGGUGUUGAAGUUGUAGGUUGACCAAAUGGAGGACCAUUUAACUCCAUUGGACACAUCUCCUGUUGUUGAGGUAUAUGAGUAGGAGCUGAAUAAAAUUGUUGUGGCGCAUAGUUGUUGCUCUACUCAUUGUACCUAAUUCCCUGCAUAUGAUGGCUAGAAGAAAAUGGUGAGACCUCAGGGUUGUUGUUCCAAUAUGACAUAUUCUGGUUUUGAGGCCACCCAUGUGAGUAAUUGUUUUGGUAUGAGCUAUGUUGUUGAGUGAAGCUCAUGCCAAAACAAUCUGGAGGGUGAGAGUAACCAUGCUGACAUUCAGCGGUUUAAUGGCCUGAAAACCACAAAUAUGGCAUGUAGGAGCAACAUAAGGAUGGACUCUAGGGUAAGGAUCAUAAGAACUAGGCCUAUCCUCAAAAACUAUUCCUCGCUGCUGAGCUAAGUCAUCUAAUUGAUAGGAAAUCUUACUUAUCAGGUCUUGAACACUUUCUGAGCUAUUUGUGCUAUUGCUCACAUAAGCAUGAUGAUCUGAGUAGAAUCCCAUUUCCAAGAAGACAAUUCAACCUACCAAAUUAACAAGAAAGAAAGAGAAAAUAACUAGAACAGUGGUUAGGGGUAAGAGAUAUAUCACAAAUAUAUGGCACAAAGAGAAAACAAGUAGAACCUAGUCUAUAGCCAAACAAAAUCGCUCGAUGCUAGUCCCCGGCAAUGGCGCCACAAUGAUCGAUUGUAAAUAGAUUUUCACGCCCAAAUCUGCAGUGUCGUGUCGUCCACGGGGACUAGGCGACAGCAAUAAUGCUCGACUAAAUCUAGGUGACAGAAUUUAGAUGAUGAUAGCAGACAAUUAGAUCUAGACUAACGAAGAUUGUUCCAUAAAAUGUUCAGACAAAGAAAAUGCAGAUUUUACUUACUUUCUUUUUGGUAUUUUCGUAAUGCUUGAGAAAUUAAAAUACUAACAUGAACAUGAUCGACAAAAGGGAAGUGAACACAAAUGACUAUCUAACAUGUAAGAGAUGGAAGAAACAAGAUUAGAAGACACAAUGUAGAUGGUUUACAUCACAAACACACAUGUAUUUACAUUGCACAUGUACUGGAUCUAACACAUGGACAACGGGAUAAAUUUCAGUAAGGAACAAACACACACGGGUGAACACAUUCAUAUGCUAGCAGAAUACUAAUUCACAGAAGCAAAUUCUAAUAGAUCAAUAGAUCAAUAAUCUCCCAAAUUAACAAGGCCUCAACUGGUCAUAUCCAACAUAACAAGUACCAUAUUAUACUAGUACCAAACCGAACAAAUAACAAGUUGCUUGCACUAGUCAAAUUUGAACAUUACACACGACAUACACAUCUCAAGUUAACAGAAAUCAGAGAGAGAGAGAGAGAUAACAGUAGGAGGGAUUCAGAGCAGAGCUUCAGCGAAUGAGGAGCAGCAAGGGGGCGCUGGAGAAGAGCAGCAAGAGGGCGCUGGAGCGGAGCAGCCGCAGGUUCGGAGAAGAAAGAAGCAGUAGGGGAUGUUGAGAGAAGAGAGGAGCAGUAGUUUUGUGGGAGAAGAGCAGCAACAAGAGGUGUAGGAGAGAAGGAAGAGUAGCGUCAGUGAGUAGAAGAGCAGCAGCAGGGGCAUGGAGAGAAGAAGAAUAUCAGCAGGUUCGAGGGGAAGAAGAAUAAGAGCAGCAGCAGGGUUAGGAGAAGAAGAAGAGAAGCGGAGGAAGUGGAGUGAUGGUUGAGUGGUAAAGCUGGUUGAUGGAUGGAUCGGUGAUGUGGUGGAGCAGCGGUCGAUAGUGGUGAUGGAAGGCUGCGGUGGCUGGUUGGCGCGCCGCCAUGCUGGCCUAGCUGCGGCCGCGACUGGAGGUGGG
rnacentral:lncRNA from 1 species